rnacentral:lncRNA from 1 species
AUGAAUAUCAUAGAGACUGAACAGAUGCCAGAGCUGCAAGCCUGCAACUAAACCAAACCACACAAUAGACAACAGCCAAACACUGUCUAAAUAUAAACCAUAAUUAUUGAUAGCAUGGAUCCGGACAGCAUGAUCUGGAGCUAACUGAGAAAAAAGUAUAAACUUGACGCCAAUCUACCACAUGUUGGUUGCAGUUACACGAUAGUCAAUUUUGCAUCAACUGUAGCAGAUAAUUGCAACGCUACACACCUUGUCCUCGUCUUUGUGAGAGUGAAGCCUCAUUCUGCUUCCUUGUGCCAUGAGAAAAAAGGAAACCAUCAUAAUCCAAGUACAGCGUGUUCAAGAGCUAAGAAAUAGUAACCAUGCUGCCAAGGUCAGUAGUCCAAAGACACAAGUAUUACUCUUAAUAUUAGACCCAUAGAUUACACUCAAACAAUUUGUUUUGAAGGAGCACCAGGGUAAAAGAUACAGCAAAAGGCAUGCGGCAAGAUAGCAGGUUGUCGAAGAAUAUGGCGCCAACAUGGGCGGCAGAGUCAGAGUAGGACGAGCGGGGCAGAGUCAAUUGUUGUACGAAGUUGCAGCAUGUAAAGUUGUAUAGAUACAUGAGGGAAAGGCUAGUAGUAUCAGAAUUGGAGUUGUAGUUGAGUUCAGAUUGCUAGCAAUCUAGUACUAUUAUAUAUAUAUAUAGGAUGGGUCUAUUAUGAUAACACCCCUUAAGAGUCUUAUUAUAAUAACACCAAGCUUAUUCUGAUAACACUCCAUUCCGUGAACUGGACCGCACAUUCACUACAGAAAAACUCACACUCACCCACCCAUCCCACUUAUCCAUGCGUCAGAUCCCAACGCAUCCCGCGACCUCCUCUCUCUCUCCCCAAGCAACUCCCCCUCCGUCGCCCCGCCUUGCGCCGCCGGCAGCCCGAAGCGCCGCUGGCCGCCCGUACCUUGACUUGCGGCUCAGGGACUCCUCCUCCUACCUCCCCUAGAGGCUCCACCACCUACCUCCUUCCACCGCCGCCGACAGCGCCUCCAUGACUCCUCUGCCCCGGCCACCGCGCCUCCUCUAACCUCGGUCGGCGCUCCACCCACCGCACCCAAGCCCAUCGGCCACCGCGUGCGCCUCCUCUCAUGCCCGCCCACAGCGCCUCCCGUUCCCGAACGCAUCACCCCACCAUCCCGCACUCCACCUCCGCCACAACCUCAUGGUGCGAGCCGCCGCCCUGGAGCGCCCNNNNNNNNNNNNNNNNNNNNNNNNNNNNNNNNNNNNNNNNNNNNNNNNNNNNNNNNNNNNNNNNNNNNNNNNNNNNNNNNNNNNNNNNNNNNNNNNNNNNNNNNNNNNNNNNNNNNNNNNNNNNNNNNNNNNNNNNNNNNNNNNNNNNNNNNNNNNNNNNNNNNNNNNNNNNNNNNNNNNNNNNNNNNNNNNNNNNNNNNNNNNNNNNNNNNNNNNNNNNNNNNNNNNNNNNNNNNNNNNNNNNNNNNNNNNNNNNNNNNNNNNNNNNNNNNNNNNNNNNNNNNNAUCUUCCUCGUCGGGCUCCCACGCCCCGUGCGCCGGCCACCGUCGACUCCCUGACGACGAAGAAACGGCGGGCGGAGCUGCAGUCCGGCUCCACGAGGCAUGCAGCGCGGAAGGGGCGCUCCCUUCCUUCCCACUGGCGGUGCGGUUCGGUCCACCCCCGAUGAGCAACACCCACCUCCACAUCACCGCGCCACCAUGGAGAGUGGUGGUCAUGGAUGGUGCUCGCAUAUCCUGCAGGUUCUCGUCCUCUCUUGGCUGUCGCGGCGCACGAGUGCAACGGGGCCAAUGACGGCGACCUUCUGCCUUCCUCCCGCUCUUGCUCGAGCCCAAUUAGGUCAAUGACAGUGUAGCCGGAUCCAGCGAGCAGUGCACAUCACACCCUCCUAUGGUUUGUUCACGACCACCAUGGCCCUCCCCUCCCUGCACUGCCUCCCCUCCCCUGCACAGGCCAUGGCUCACUGCGAUGUGCCACCGUGCUGGGCGUGCCAUGCGGUUCAGCAGUACCUGAAUCCCCUCGGGUGCUCUGAAUUCCUGCGGGUGAUUCAUCGCGGCGGUAACACGACCAGAACAAGAAGCACGGGGAGAGGUCAGGCAGCUGAUCUUCCUCAUUCCCCAACAAAAAAAUCGGCGAGGUGCUUCAUAGUUUAUGUGCGGUUUGCUUGUGCGCUCUGUGCGGUAAGCUAGCAUCCUGUAGAUAGUUCAGGAAUCUGCAGUGCGUGGGUGCCACCGGAUGGGGGGACGAGGUGCUAUCCAUGGCACGCUGGAGUUUUUUUGUGUGUUCGUCGCAGAAAACCUUUUUUUACUUUUAUUGGGGGAGAAUCAAAGUGCAGUGUGGUUCACUAUUUGCUGCCCUUGUGGUUCGUUGUACUUUUUAUUGGAGGAGAAAACUAGGAACACAAAAUAAAAAAGUGCACUGCACACACUCUGAAGAAAAUACAUGAUGUAGUUUGGUUGUGCUAUUGCUGUUUAUUGCAGGAGAAGAUUUGGACAGAAAAAAAUGAGAAAAAAGUGCAUUGCACACACUUUGAAGAGGACACGAGAAAAGGAGGCAUUUUUUCAGUGUUUAUUUGUGUUGUUUUUCAGGCACAUGUAUAUGAUUUUGUUUAAAAGCAGUUCAUCCAGCAUUGUGUUGCGGUUCAUUUUUCUCGAUCAUUACGGUAGUCUCAAGGUUCACUUUUCAUAGUAUUGCGGUUCGCCAACACUCGACAUGAAGUGCACUCCACCUUGUUUGGAAAAAUUUACGUCCUACAAAAAAGAAAUCAUGCAGUGCACUUGUCUGUCCGAUGAAAUGCGGUUUUAGUCUGAAGCAGUGUACUCCACCUCGUUUGGGAAAAUUUAUGUCCCACAAAAAAGUCAUGCAGUGCACUUGUCUGUCCAAUAAAGUGCGGCUUUUAGUCUAAAUAAGUACGGUUUUCCGUCUGAUACAGUAUGGCCCGUUUACGGCAGUCUCGAGGUUCACUUUUCAUAGUAUUACGGUUUACCAACGCUCGACAUGAAGUGCACUCCACCUCGUUUGCGAAAAUUUACGUCCCACAAAAAAAGAAAAUUACGUCCCACAAAAAAGAAAUCAUGCAGUGCACUUGUCUGUCCAAUGAAGUGCGUUUUUUAGUCUAAAUAAGUGCGGUUUUCUAUCUGAUGCAGUACGGCUCGUUUACGGUAGUCUCGAGGUUCACUUUUCAUAGUAUUAUGGUUCACCAACACUCGACAUGAAGUGCACUCCACCUCAUUUAGGAAAAAUUACGUCCCACAAAAAAGAAAUCAUGCAGUGCACUUGUUUGUCCAAUCAAGUGCGGUUGUUCGUCCGAUGCAGUGCGGUUUUCAGUCGGAUGAAAUACCUACGUCAAUUUGGGUGUCGCGAAAAACAAAUUGUCCGCAUUUCGGUAAAUUUAAAACUGCUCUUAAACCGUAAGGAAUUAGAGAGAGUGUUCUAAAUGAAAAAUUUGCGUCUUCUCGAUAUCUUUCCAAAGGCAUAUCAUUCGAAUCAUUUUGACAGCCGUUUUGUAAAAAAUUCACGAAAAACGGCCACUGCCACUUGUCGUCCUCCACACGAUUUUCAAAAUUAACUUAAAACCAUAAGGAAUCUCAAAAACAUUUCAACAUAUGAAAGUUGUGCCUCGUCCAUAGCUUUCCAACGACAUAUUACACGCCUCGUUCCGACAAACGGUUAAAAACUAGAGAGAAAACAGUACCGAAAAUUUGAAAAAAAUUGAAAAAUAGAAUUCCGCGAUUUAGUAAAUUUGAAACUGCUCUUAAACCAUAACGAAUUAGAGAAAGAAAUAGAUAUGAAAAAGAUGCGUCUCGAUGAUAUGUAUCCAAUGGUGUAUCAUUUGCUUCAUUCCGACGAACGGUUUAGAAAAAAAUGUAAAAAAACGCUCGCUGCCACUCGUCAUCCGCCGCACCAUUUUCAAAACUGCUCUUAAACCGUGAGGAAUCUCGAAAAGUGUUCAACAUGGCGAAGUUGCGCCUAAUCCAUAACUUUUCAAUGAUAUAUUACACGCCUCAUUCCGACAAACAGUAUAAAACUAGAGCGAAAACAGUACCGAAAAAACACUGCGUGCAGUUUUUUGCAACAGGAAGUUCACUCGCCUCAGUACUGCAGCACACUUGGUUCAAACAAAGACGUGCACUUGCGUUGAGCGUGCAGUGCGGAAGUGUUAUCAGAAUAGACCGGCUAUNNNNNNNNNNNNNNNNNNNNNNNNNNNNNNNNNNNNNNNNNNNNNNNNNNNNNNNNNNNNNNNNNNNNNNNNNNNNNNNNNNNNNNNNNNNNNNNNNNNNNNNNNNNNNNNNNNNNNNNNNNNNNNNNNNNNNNNNNNNNNNNNNNNNNNNNNNNNNNNNNNNNNNNNNNNNNNNNNNNNNNNNNNNNNNNNNNNNNNNNNNNNNNNNNNNNNNNNNNNNNNNNNNNNNNNNNNNNNNNNNNNNNNNNNNNNNNNNNNNNNNNNNNNNNNNNNNNNNNNNNNNNNNNNNNNNNNNNNNNNNNNNNNNNAACUGUUGUAUAUAGAUGUCCCUAUGUAAUCAGAGGCAGGAAAUAAGAAAGCUCUCUAUCUCAGCGCUUUCCUCACUUCUAAUUCCCUGAAUCCUCAACUUUGCUGCCAAGACUUGUGCCAAUCACGACACCUACCAAUCGCCAGAGGAUACAACCUCCGAUGAACUACCCCUACAAUCUCUCCAAAGUCAAUCUAGGCUACAACAUCUGGUAUCAGAACCAGGAAGCGAAGUCAGAACUGCAAGAAGCUAUAUAACCAAGCAACUGCAGGAGGGUUUCACGGCCAUCCAUAAUGAAAUCUUGCCCAUUGAUGAGCGUGUAAAUACCCCGGAGAAGCAAUCAUGCGUCAAUGUCCUGUUGCCAAAUUCCCCACCCCUUAGUAAGAUGUCUAGUGCCUCUGCUAUCCCGACAACUCUUCUAGGUUACCAUGCAGCAGUUACCUAUAUUGUUGAAGUGAUUGCCGGUAUUGCCACAUCAGGCUGUAGGUGCAUCAAUGCCGACAAGGUCCUAUGCAUCGCCCCUGCAUAUGAAGGAUUGGUAUGAUGAACAUCAUCACAACAACAUAUGAAGGAUUGGUACGAUGAACAUCAUCACAACAUUUGAGUUCAAGGUAGGCAAGUGGGAAUGGCUGCAUUUACAACACCAACGACAGCUACCUUGGCAAUGCACACCCACUGAAGCUAACACCCCGAUUCUAUGGCCCCUUCAGACCACUGAAGGGAUCAGAUAUAUUGCUUAUAGGCUUCCGCUUCCGGAAGGGACACAAAUCCAUAGUCUUCCAUGUGGGCCUCAAGCGUUAUGAUGGUGAGCAACCAGUGACAACUUCGGUGCUCCCAUCAACCAUGGCCUAGUAGUUACAACACCAGCAUCUUUGAAGCUACACGCUUUGCCACCACAAGUGGUAAAUUCUCGUGACUUGGCAAGUGCUCCCAAAAAAUGAACCCACUUGUGAGGAUGUAAUCCGAGUUUAGGGAGCAAUUUUCAAGAAUUCCAGCUAGAGGACGAGCUAUUUCACAGGGAGGGUAAUGUUGAGGACAUGCACUGGGGUAAAAGAUACAGCAGAAGGCAUGCAAUAAAACAGCAGGCUCUUGCAGCUAUGACAAACAAGGCGCCAACACAGGCGACAGUGGUAGGAGGCAUGGGUCAGAAUAAGAAAAGGAUCCUGUAACAGGUAUAUUCUUAUACAGGUAGGAGGAAGAUAGGGGCGGAGCUGGGCCCCGGGCACCCAGGGCCCAGGCCCGGGGCGUGGGAAUUUUACCCAGCUUGAUGUAUAUAGAAUUUGUUUUGGGCCCGGGGUACAACGAGUGAAAGGAGGCCCGAAGUGAGCGAUCCAGGUAGCAGUGCACACACGGACUACACACACGUACCAGCCAUUAGCCCACGACCGCAAACUGGCUACACGAGUGCACGACCUAACUCGCCCGUCUCCAGCGAUCGAGCCGCCGCCUACCUGCCUCCCUGCUCGGUCCGUCGGCUGCCGUGGCGUCGUCGCCGUCCGGCAUACACCGGCCACCGCCGUCCACUUCUCCAGGCAGGCCCCUGCUACCCUGGUCCCUCCCCGGCGGCCCAGUGCUGCCCCUAUGUGCGCCGUUCGUUGCGGCGCGCCGUCCCUUUCUUCUCUUGCCCUGCCUAACCUUGAUAAAUUUCUUUGAUUCUUUGCAGUUUCUACUUGUACCGUGUUUUACAAUUUAACAUAGUAACCUCUGUGUAUGAACUGCACUGAACUAAAUUUAAUUGAAAAAAUGUGUACUUAGUCAUGGAGGAAGAAGGAAAGCCGAUCGCAAUCUCAGUAUUGUACUGUGUGUUGUAGAACUCAAACUGACGUAUUGUCAAACUCAAAUUGAUGUAUUUGCAAUUCCAUUUAUGUUGUAGAAAUGGAAGAUGAAGAGAUAUUUUUUCAUUGGUGCCCGCAACAAGGGUUUCUUGAAGUUGAAUUCCAAGUAUUGAUGAUGAUGAUAUUCUAUAUCAUUUUUAAUCAUAUAGGUCUCGCGAAGGGCUUUUAUCACGUCAAAGUGGUAAGUAUUUCGAUUUGUUUCAAUGAUAAUUAUUUCAAUUGAUGUUUAUGUUUUUUACGAAAUUAUAUAUUUUAAAAUGCCUUGAAGGUGUUGGUCAUUCUACCAUCGAUCAAGUUAUGGGAUGCACCGACGAACUAUUCAAUUGACUUGGUAUCUUUUUUGUAUUCCCAUAUUACUAUUUGUACUUCUGUCCCGUUUUUAUCUAUUUUCUUGGAUCAUUGAGCAUCAAGUUUAAAUUAUAGAUUUAUUGAUAAAAUAAACUUUAUUCUGUAUGCUUUCACAUCAGGUAUUUUUUCGAAAUUGUAUGAGUUAGUUUUAAGGCCAAAGUUUUUCCAUGUUGCCGAGAAAAAAAAUUAGGCUCGGGGUUUGCUUUAUUCCUGGCUCUGCCACUGGAGGAAGAGGCUAGUGUACCAGAGUCGUGCCUCUAUCCAUAUAUAUGUAAGGAAAUAUGCAACUUAGUAUUAUCAGGAGGCAAAAACCAUCAUAUAUAAAUGUACAAGGGAGACCACAAGCUAGAAUGCACCCCCCCCCCCCUCAAACUCAUGGUGGAUCCACAACACUGAGUUUGGAGAGGUAAAAUCCAUGUUGUGCUUUAGUCUAUGCCUUCGUGAAGAAAUCCGCUAGCUAUAACUCGGAAGGCACAUACUAAAGAGCAAUAACAUGGUCCUGCACACCAUCGCGCACAAAGAAAGCAUCAACACCAAUAUGCUUGGUAAGCUCAUGCUUCACAGGGUCCCGUGCAAUACUGAUAGCACCUAUAAUAUAUGACAAGGGUGUAGUAGGUGUAGUAACAGUAACACCAAAAUCCUCAAGUAACCAGCGUAACCAAGUCAUCUCUGCGGUGAGAAGAGCCAUAGCUCACAACUCAACCUCUGCACUCAAAUAGGAAAUUGCAAUUUGUUUCUUCGUCUUCCAGGCAAAUGAGAGAACCACCAAGAAAGACACAGUAGCAGAAANNNNNNNNNNNNNNNNNNNNNNNNNNNNNNNNNNNNNNNNNNNNNNNNNNNNNNNNNNNNNNNNNNNNNNNNNNNNNNNNNNNNNNNNNNNNNNNNNNNNNNNNNNNNNNNNNNNNNNNNNNNNNNNNNNNNNNNNNNNNNNNNNNNNNNNNNNNNNNNNNNNNNNNNNNNNNNNNNNNNNNNNNNNNNNNNNNNNNNNNNNNNNNNNNNNNNNNNNNNNNNNNNNNNNNNNNNNNNNNNNNNNNNNNNNNNNNNNNNNNNNNNNNNNNNNNNNNNNNNNNNNNNNNNNNNNNNNNGGCGGCAAUCUCUGUUGGCAUCACACACUGCCAUUCAGGAUGAACAAUAGCAUGUCGAUAAGAAGUUGGCUCAAGAACGGUCGAAAGACCAUAGCGAGAAGGAGAAUAUCGGUCAGGGGGCGGGCAAGGCUGUGAACGAAGACCAUAAGUCGGAUGAGAGGAGGAAGAUGACACACCAAAAGUAGAGGGCACAUCAAUAGUCUCAUCCAUAACACAUGAACGGCGAGUAUAAUGGAAAGGAAAGGAGGGAACAGGUGGAAUCACUGGAGGUGGAUACAGGGAAUGUAUCGAUGAUGAAGGUGGAGAAGGGGAAGAUAUCGGUGAUGAAGGUGGAGAGUCGUGCGAUGAGGGAGGAGAAAAAACUGUAGGAGAGGACGGCGCCGGAUCUUCAGCGGGACGAGUAGGAAGUCAGGGCACAAACGAAGGUGUAUCCAGGAACGUAAGAAAAGAGAUGUCCUCUGUGAAAAAGGCCGAGGAUGGACGCGGGUAGAAAGGACGAGAUUCAUCAAAGGUCACAUCCUAAGAAAUACGCAUUUGGUGACCGACAGGAUCCCAACACCGAUAGCCCUUUAUGCUCAUCACUGUAUCCAAGAAAGACACACUCAACGGACUGAGCGGUCAGUUUGGUGCGUUCACGAGGGGCAAGAAAAACAUAGCAGACGCAACCAAACAAACGAAGCGUCAAAGCGUCAAAUAAUCAGGAGAACGACCUGAAAGACGCUCGAGAGGAAUACCACCCUAUAGAGCAACAGAUGGAUGGACGUUGAUGAGGUAGGUGGAAGCGGUAAUAGCGUCAGCCCAGAAGUGAGGCGGAAGAGAGGCCGUGAUCAUCAUCGCACGCGUUGUUGACGAUGCUUACGCUCAGGCUCAGCCACACCAUUCUAAGCAUGAGCACCAGGGCAAGAGAAUUGAGUAAUGUACCCUAGUCAGUAAGGAAUCCUCGCAAUGCAUGCGAGAUAUACUCACCAACUGAAUCUGCACAAAAAACACGAAUAGGAGUGGAAAAUUGGAUAUGAACCAUGGCAGCAAUUUUUUUGUAUAUGAUAAGGCCUCACUACGAGAAGAAGACAUGAAAUAGAUCCAAGUGUAUCGAGAAAAAUCAUCUAUAAAGAUAAUAUCGAAGCGAUGACCCCUUUGGAAGUGAAGGGAGAUGGACCCCAAACAUCAGAGUGAACGAGAUCUAAAGGACACUCGAACACUGACUUACUAUGAGGAUAUGGUAGCUGAAUUUGCUUACCAAGCCUACAACCCAAACAAUCCAACGAUGAGUUACCGAAAACAGACCCCGGCACACCAUGAUGAACCAAAUAUGAGACAAGAACCACAUAAAUGGCCAAGACAAUGAUGCCAUUACUGAAAAGAGCUGGUGGAUGCAGCAACAGGGGCUGCAAGACUGGCGAUGGUGGCAGCAGAGGGAAGACGAAGCUAGCCUAGCUCCCAGAGACCAUCAGAGCGUCAACCACUAGCACCAAGAAAAGCCCCCGUGCGAUGAUCCUGAAUAGAACAUGAAUCAAAGUCGAGAAUGACCCUACGACUUGAGUCAACAAUCUGACCGCCAGAUAUGAGUUGCAUGGUAAGUCGGGUAACAUGAGCGACAGAGGGAACAUGAAAUGAAGAAGUGCUAAGAGUGCCUCGACUAGCUACGGGGAGGGGAGUGCCAUCAGCCGUAAGAACACGAAUAGGAGACUCGAUAGGUCGAACGAAGGUUAAAGUGGAAGAAUCAUAAGUCAUAUGAGAAGACGCUCCAGUAUCAAGAAUCCAUGGGGAUGUACCUAAAUGAGUAGAAGGUGGUUUCUUAGUGAAGAGUCAAUGUAGAUCGACCACCACCGCGUGCCAAAGAUGCGACAGUUGACGGAUAGCAGCCACCAUGACAUGUAAAAGCUGCAAAGGGAGUCGACAAAGUGCGGCCAAAACCGCGUGCGGAAGCCGCAAGAGGAGUCGAUACGAAGCGGCCACCACCGUCUGAGAAAAUCGGCAAAACAGGCAACAAGGUUCGAGGAGGAGGACCGAGCAAAGACGUAAGGUGUGUGUGUGAGACGAUGUCAGUAGGACAACCACUGUCAAAAAUCACCGGAUAGCCAAGAACUGAAACAAUGCUCAAAGAUAAUGACAUUNNNNNNNNNNNNNNNNNNNNNNNNNNNNNNNNNNNNNNNNNNNNNNNNNNNNNNNNNNNNNNNNNNNNNNNNNNNNNNNNNNNNNNNNNNNNNNNNNNNNNNNNNNNNNNNNNNNNNNNNNNNNNNNNNNNNNNNNNNNNNNNNNNNNNNNNNNNNNNNNNNNNNNNNNNNNNNNNNNNNNNNNNNNNNNNNNNNNNNNNNNNNNNNNNNNNNNNNNNNNNNNNNNNNNNNNNNNNNNNNNNNNNNNNNNNNNNNNNNNNNNNNNNNNNNNNNNNNNNNNNNNNNNNNNGAGGCAGUCUGUUUCAUGGAAGGCCAGAUGAAACGAGGCGACGGGGCACAAACCCACGGCCUUGUGGUUAUGCAGCACACGGGAACAACAUCAUGUCUCAGCAAAAUGGCGGAGCUGAUCAGCGGCGGCCAGUGGGAAGAUCAGCAAUGUCUAGCGACAGAAGACAUGGAUCAACGAUGAAGGCAGUGGGGCUGAAGGCAAAUGGCGGCGGGCAACGAAGAGAGCCAGGGAUCCGCGAUGGCGGCGGUGGAUUCCUGUGCGCCCAAGGAGAAGCGUCGGAUGGGCUAAAAGCGGAGGCCUCCUAGGUGAGGUGAACAAGAUGGCGGAAGGAGCCGGACGGGGUGAGGCUGGGCUGUGGAGAGUACGGGCGGAUCUUGAGAGGAGACAACAGCGAUCUAGGAUUGAAGGAACGACAAUGGCCGAGAUGAGGGAGCUGCGACAGCAGGCAAGGAGACACGGCGGCGCGACGGGAGGAUCAAGCACAAGUUGCACCUGCUAAAAAAAUUAACCUAAGCUCUAAUACCAUGCAAGGAAAUAUGCAACUUAGUAUUAUCAGGAGGCAAAAGCCAUCAUAUAUACAUGUAGAGGGGAGGCCACGGGCCAGAAUGCAAGAGGCCAAAGGCCACCAUAAAUAUAACUGUAACAAUAUAUAAGGCCUAAAACAUAUUUCGAGGUUUACUUUGACCACUUGUUUCACCAAAUAAUAUACAUUUUGUAUGUUAUAAAAGUAUACAAUCGAAUUCGUAUUUGAAAGGAGUUUUCAAUUGCAUAAUUGUAGAAAAACACUAACCCCAAGCUCCCAACAUUAGUGAACACAAAGGGAUUGGUAGUUCUAUGAUUAAGUAUUGUGAUCUGAGAUGCACCAUGAAAAAAUGUGGCAUGCAUCAUAGUAUACUAUUAACACCAUACACAUAAUGACAUAUGUUUCUUUUUGAAAAUAUAGUCUUAACAAACAAAAUCAAGCAAUUAGCAACAUAAAGAAACUGGCAACAUACGCAAGGAUUUUUCAAUACUGUUUCAGAUUUACCCAGGCUGACAAAAGAAACAAAAACUGCAUACAUAAGCUGCCUACAGAAAACAGGUCUAGUUUCUGAAAAGCCUACCUCACAAGGCAAGCUAAACGAUUACUAGCACAUUCAAGGCACAAUAAUGAACUCCACUAGUACUCCGAACACAGUUGUAGGCAUCUUUAAUAACCAAAUUAAAGAGAGUAAGAACACAUAUAUGAUUAUGCAAAAUAAGCAGUGUGUUACUAUAAUGGGUCAGUUAGUUUAUCUUAUUAUGAAAAUCCAACAGUGACGGGAUGAGGAUACAUGCAGGUUAUCGUUAGAUAAAAACGGGAGAUAUGUGUAACUAGAGCUGAAAUUAGAUGAACAAGCAGAAAACUGAAAGAUCUGUAGCACUUACAUUGCGAAAGCAGCAACCACAGGGAAAGGAUGAGCCAAUGGACACGACCGAUCAGCUACUUUGUAAACUUGCCGCUGCUGCUUCAUUAUUAUAGCAUCAUCGAAAUUUUCUUUCACAAUAGAGUAGGUGCCAUGUACAUCACUUGGUUUUCCCAACUUGGACUCCGGUUCAGCAUCGACAGAUCGAAAGUGAACAGAAGAGAACCGGCCCCUUCCCAAAGGGAAGAGAAGUUCCCCCAGAACAGGUCAGGCCUUUGGCAUCACCAGCGGAACCUCAAUAAUGGACAGCUCGCUGGUCCCAGAUGUUGACUGACCGACAUGCAUGUAGUACACUACAUAAGCGCCGUCCCUCUCUUUGGAGCGGGCAAGAAAGAGUUGGUCCCCGUGGGGCACCGCCUGGCCAAGGAAAGGAAGAUUCAUCUCAUGCACCAUCUCCCACACCUUCUUCUCCACGUCGUACCCACAGGUUCCCAUGUAUUUCCUGUAUUUCCUGGCAGCCUUGUCGGGGCUGGCCACAUUGUCCAGUUGCACGGAGAGCAAAAUAUGGGAGCCAACCAUGGCGUAGGAGGCAACGCGUAUAGCCGGUGGGAUCAUGUACUCAGGCGGCGUGAUGCGGCACGGAAAGAUGGGCGGCGGCUCGAGUUCUAGGCAAACCUCGGCUUGGUUAGGGCGGCCGUCCUCGAAGUCUUAAUCUGCUCAAACCAGGGAAGGUAGUCGAGCCCCAUCGCCCCCCUCUUCACGGAGGGGUGGCUCGAGAGCACGUAGAGCUGGUCGCGGUGUGGAAACAGGAUGGGCUCCAUCUUAUUGGUAUGGAGCCACGGGCCCUGCCACUCCUUGGAGGCCGUGACAUCGAAGAUGGUGGUGUGAAUCUGCUCGUCCCCGCCCACGACAACGAUCCAGGACCCCUGCGGCGACUCCAUGGCAGUGAACGACAUGCCGCGUUGGCUAAGGUGCAGUGGGAUCUUAGGCGCCAUUGUGCCAACACUGAGGAUGGAGUACGCUGGCUCCGCCUUGUGCGCCACCACCAGAUAGACCGGCUUUUCUGGAACUACGAUUUUCUGGCGAAGACGGGUGGAAGUGGAAUCAUCACCAUCCUCCACGGUGCGCUUCAGCUCGGUCGGCAUCUCAGGAUGGUGGCGGUAGCGGCGGCGGUGGAAACCCUAGAACAGAGUGCGUGCCGUCUUUUCGGUGGUUUUAUGCUCACCACAAAGUGGGCCUGGGCCCUUAGGCCUUGGCAAUUGGGAUUUGUAGACGAAAUCACUUGUUCGGCCUCGUUUGGCAGACCGGUUUUGACACACCAUCUGACGGAAAACCCUAGGCAAUCCCUAUUUUACGCUUCAGGCGCACGUUACAGGCUAUUCUGCCGGCCCACAAAUAAUUUUCUUCUUGACUAUUAAAUCGCAAAACCAAAAUCGUGGGUGAAGGGAUUCGAACCGCAGACCAAAGGAAAUAACCAACUGGACUAGUUAUAUGCUUGUGACAAGUUAUUAGAUUUCUUAUAUAGGCAAAAGCCUACCGUCAACCGACAGAUCUCGCGCGCGCAUCCAUCGGCUCCAUGUCCAUUGGAUCGCAUGUUGAUCAGACGGCCCCGCUUUCCGCGUCGCGCGCGCUCGUUUUCUGAAACAGAGCUAUUGUUUCAGGAUAAGCAUUCGUGCAACUGGCCUCCGUUGACUCGUGUCUCUGUGAGGGUGACGCUUCUGGAUUUGGGAGGGCGGUGGGGGCGGCGGCGUUCGACGACUGGGGCAUAUCCAGCACGGGGGGCGGCGACGACGGGUUCGGCGGUGCCCGACGUCGACUCCAGCAGGUAUGGAUCGAAGACCCCCCUCCCAUUCCCCCCGCAUUUAUGGGCGACCACCGCCCUGGCACCACCAAUACUAGACACAGCCACAUCACAACGCCUUACGUCCACGCACACUCCAAGUUUUUGCAACAACAACGUUGUUGCGGAACGGCGGCAAUGAAGACUACACGACCGAUUAGGCGCGGCAUGAGAUGUCUUUUCAAUUUUUGCAACAAGGGUCUUGUUGCAGAAAAUUAGAGAAUAAGAGUUUUUACAAUGGGGGACCUGUUGUAGAAAAUUAGAGAAAAAGGAGUUUUCGCAACAAAGCUCUUGUUGCAGAAAAUUAGAGAAGAGGAGGUUCCGCAACUAGAGUAGCUCCUACACGCCGGCGGCGGGCUGAUUUUGCGGUGGGUUGGCGGUGGCGCCGCGCGGGGCGCAGCUCAGUCGGGGUCGGGUCAAGACUGUCUUGUUUCUGCAACAAAGUGUUUGUUGCGCGAAAUAACGAGUGGGCAUGCGGGCCGCGUACACCGGAUCGGACGGCUAUCAGCUCGGGCAUCCAAUGGUUGUCGAGGCGACGGAUAAAAUCUAAACAUCCACCGGCGGACGUGUAGCAGCGCCUUUCUUAUAUCCCUAAAAAAAGUUAGAUUUCUUAUACAUCAUUAAAUGAAACAAACCGCGACCUGUUUGUGCCUACUCUCUUUCUCUUUUCAUUUUCUCCUUCCUCUAAAAUUUGUGAUUUUUCUUAAAUUCGUAUACAUUUCAAAUUCACACACCUCUUUUGAAUCUCAUGAACCUUCUUCAAAUUUGUGAACUUUUUCUUUUUUCUAUAUUUUUACUUUUAUAUAAUUCUUGACCUUUUUCCAAAUGGAUUAACAUUUUUUAAAAUUGAUGAGCUUUUUUUCAAAAUUGAUGAACUUUUUUAAAUUUCAAUGAUUUUUUUUCACUUUUGAUGAACUUGUUUCAAAAUCAUUGAAAAAAAAUUCAAAAUUUGAUGAACUUUUUUAUCAAGUUGAUGAACUUUUUUGGAAUUUGUGAUGGUUUUUUUCAAAAUCUACUAAACUUUUCUCUAAUUCACGAACUUUUUUCAGAUUUAGUGAAUUUAUUUUCAAAUUCUUGGUUGUUCUCAAUAUUUUUAAGAAUUCUUUCUCAAAUCUAUGCUUUCAUUUUCAAAAAGUAUAUUUAUUGGACAUAUAAUGCGUAUUUAUGUUGUACUAUAACAAUGUCAAAUAGUAUUGUUUCCUACUUAAAGAAAACUAAGUGAAUACGGCCUAGUGGUUAUUGGCUACGUUAGUCAUCACUAGCACAAAUGCCCGUGCGUUGCAUCGGACGAAAAAUUAAAUACAACCUGCUCCAUGUGCCGUUAUGCAACACUUUUUUUAUAAUAUUUGCAAUCGUCAGAAAUAAGGUUAAAUUGAGUAUUUCUUUUUGGACCAUGAAAUUUGGACGUGCCCUAGCAACGUUUGUCAUGACCUAUUUCAACUCCGCACUUUUAUUUUAUCCCGGUGAGGGCAAAAUAUCUUCUCCCUUAAGUAAUAAAUAUUUUUUCAAUAUUUCACACACAUAUAUUUUAAUUACUACGUAUAAUGAUAAUUCAUUUGUGAUAACAUUCGGCACGCAUAUUAAACUAUGUCAGUCCUCCCUCCGGUCCUUUUUACUCUGCACAUUGGAUUUGCCAAAAGUCAAACUUUGCUAAGUUUGACCAAAUUUAUAUUAGAAAUUAUUAGCAUCUAUAAUAUCUAAUAAAUAUAAUAUAAAAAAUAUAUUCCAAGAUGAAUCUAAUGAUAUUGGUGUUGUUAUGUGAAUGUCUAUAAUUUUUUUAUAAACUUAGUCAAAGUUGUAUGAGAUUGACUUCGGACAAACCUAAUAUGCAGAGUAAAAAGGACCGAAGGAAGUACAAAAAAAACAGCCAAGGAAUCAUUAUCCGAGCUCACCCGCACAAUUUCUUUAUAAUAAUGGUAGCACACAGAGCAACAUCUAGCUGCUUCUAGUCAAUGCAGCGCAACAUCUAGUAGCAGCAGUUCAUACAAAAAGCAGUAGCAACAGCACCGAUUCCCAGAAAUUCCUCAUCUCACCGCCCAGAAGAUGCCCCUUCUCUUGUCCACACAUCGCUAUUCCUCCACAUCACUCAGCGCUGCUCCGCCUCCAUCUUCCCCCUUCUGCUACCUCAGCACCCAGCUCUGCCCCUACUCUUCCUCAGCUCCCUCCUACCAACACCCGGUCGUGCUCCACUCCCAGCCAUGAUGGCCACCCGAGCUCUAGCUGCACCAACACGAGACGACGAAGUUGUCUCCCCGUGCUCCGUAUACCUCGUCUGCUCGUGAUUCGACCUCCUAUUACUCCACAACUACACCAGCUUGUACUCCCAUCCCCCCCGCCACAGCCAAGCAACCGCUGCAUUCUCCUCCAUCCAGCCGGGCAUAGAUGCGCGCGUCGACUGCCUGAUCUGGUAUGGAUGCACGGGUAGCUCCUCCCUCCCCUGAUCUUUCCUUGGCGACCUCACAUCUCCACCCGGUCCACACCAGGAGACGCCGCGCUGGGUGUUUUAGCCACAGAAAUCAUACAUUGGGUGAAGGACGCCCAAUGGUAGGUGACCCGAGGCAAGGUGGAAUCAGCGAGGCAGCGGGGGUUGGGCCAAAAAUCUCUGUUCUAUGUUCUCCAUAAGCAGCAAUAGCACACACAAAACUGAUUAUCUCUUCCUUGUGUCCUGCAGUGGCGAGAUUCGGGAUCGAUGGAUCCGACGCUGCGAGCCCAUGUCGGCCAGAUCCUGACGGUGGCGAGCCGGGGUUUCCUACAGGCACCGGGAGGGAGGACAUCCCCUAUUGUCUAAAGAAGAUGAGGUUGGCUCCGGGGGCUCUGACUCCGAUUCACCGCCAAGCUAGAACUCCCCAUUGAGGCGCUCAUGGUCUAAGGGGCGCGGAGAGAUCCAGGGGCAGGCUCGUGAGGUUGUUGUUUGCGGGAGAGCGUCGUCGUCCUCCACCCAUAUCCCGGCUGGGUUCUUCUCUUCCUCUGCGUCGACGCCCGACCAUGCCUCGGCACGACGAUGACAUAUUUUGGAUUGAUGGGAUCGAUGACAUCCAAAUCAGAGAAGCAUGGCACUGGAGCAAGAGGGUGGAGAUUGAGGAGGCUGCGGGUGGCGUCGGAGAACAUUAGGAGCAGAUGUGGAAAGGGGGGGAAGGAAAACAUGGCGAUCGAUGGCCGGAGAAGAAGACCGGCGGCCGGUGGCGGCGCCAUACUGUUCAGAUCGAGGGGAGCACGUCUCCUCAAUUCCACUGCACGGUGAAUGUACCAAACCGCAGGGUGUUUCCUGCAAAAACGAAACGUUUUUAUAAUCUGUUUAAGUAGGAUUGCGGGUUGAAUAUUAAAGAAACACAGGGGCUUUUCUGCAAAAAGACAUGACGUACGGGCAGAAGCACUCCGUGCUUUAUUAGUAAAAAAAAAAUAAAAAAAGUAGGGAAAGAAGAUGUGUGUGUGCUGAGUUCGAGUCGCGUUUCUCUAAGAAUUUAUCUAGAAGAUAAUUUUUUUUCGUUGUGUUUGCCGUCCGAACAGCAGAUUAUUGGGCCGGCCAGCUACAAGUCCCUGUGAGCGCCACGAGCGCUAACUUUGUCAUGCAAACGCGCAGACAUGGCGAGGCGAGCCAUUACAUGGCCUGCCUGCUUGCGUGUUUCACUCAUCCCGGUUUUGGGAAACUUCUAGAAGGUUCCCAGCUUGUCUAGGUCGGGUUUUUAUUGUUAGUUUUUUUCCUGUUAUUUCUUUUACAGUCUUGUAAAGUUUCUCAUUAUUUUUUCAUUUUUCGUUUUUUAUGUUUCUUGUUUUUAGUUAUCUGAUUGUUUUCUUGUUAUCUUUUUAAUUCCUUUUUCUUCUCGUUUUUUGCAUCUAUUUUUUACACAAUUUAAAAAUUGUUUGAAAUUGCAAAAAAUGUUCAAUUUUUUAAUUUUUUAUUACAAUUCAAAAAAUGUUUGUAAUAUUUAGAAAAUGAUUCUCUUAUAAAACAGGUUCGUAAGUUCAAAAACAUUCCUGUUUUCAAAAAAAAAUCACAAAUUGAAAAAAUGUUCAAGAUUUUUCUAAAAUGUUCACAUAUUUGAAAAAAAUGUUCUCCAUUUUGAUAAAUAUACAUAAGUUCAUAAAAUAUUCCUGUUUUAAAAUUUAGUUUACAAAUUCAAAAAAAAAUCGCAAAUUUCAAAUAAUGUUUGCUUUUAUUAUAAGUUAUCCAGAGUUUCAAUUUUUUUCACAGAUGCAAAAAACGUUCCCUUUUGUCCAAAAUGUUCAUGUUUUCAAAAAAGUUCCAUUUUAAAAAAAAUUGAGAAAUUUAGAUUAAAUCCUGAUUUUAAAUUUGUUCAAAAAUUCAAAUAUUAGUCACAUUUUUUUCAAAACUUGUUCCUAUCUGUGAAAAAAUUGGAAUUGAAAAAUGUUUCUGUUUUUAAAAUUUUGUGCACGAAUUCAUACGUUCUUCUUAUUUUGAAAACUUGUUUGUGUUCUUUAAUAAAUUGUUUUGAAUCUUUUUUAAAAAGUAUUCAUAUUUUUCAUGAAAUGUUUUUAAAAAGGGAAAAUAUUCGAAUCUGCCGAUGUAGUUUGUGCUGAAGUACUUCUCGCAGCAUACCAUCACUAGCACUGACCAGCUCGAGUGGUUAGGAACGUGAGUCCAUUAGAGGUCGAUCGUGAGUUCGAAUCCGAGGUAAUGCGCCUCAUUUUUAUGAUGCUUUUUGUAAGUGCAUCUAGUGACACUCCUAGUUGGUUUUGGAGUAUUGACGACAAACUUGGUUGAGGGACUAAUGUGUUUGUGAGAAUUGCAGGAUAAAAAAUGUAGUAGUCCCUCAUUGAUUCGGUUUACCUACUGGAGAUGACCCCUAAAAAUGUAUGAAAAUAUUGAAGACAAAUGUGGUAUGUGAAGGUAUUCACAUUGAAGACUAUGACAAGAGAAGACAUCGCGUGAAGACUAUGGAGCGCGAAGACUUAGUUGUUUCGUUGUUUCCGUUUUUUCUUUGUUGAGUCAUAGGAACCACUGUACUGUUAAGUGGGGUCCAAGUGAACCAGUCAGAAUGACUGAAGUGAUGCUUAACCAAAAUCCUAUGUCUUCGAGCGAAGACAAUGAGAGCAAAUCUUAUCCAGAGCUGGAUAAGUCAGCUUUGCUUGUAGCUCAAGUAAAGUUGCCGUGUGUGUUUGAAAUCUAACCGUUGGAACCCGUGUCAGUUCCUUAGUGACCCAUGGUCAUUUCAGACAAAUCAGGUCGGGUUGCCUAGUGGCUAUAAAUAGCCCACCCCCUACACCAUAAAUUGGUUGGCUGCUCAGAGUUAGUGCACGGCUUUUGUCGUUUGAGAGCAACCCACCUCGCCAAAGAGUGUUAUGCAUCACUGAAGUCUUCCUGUCUGUGUGAUCUGAAGACUUAUUACACUUGAGGACUGUGAAUCCUCCAGCCGGUUAGGCGUCGCGUUCUGAGCAUCCAAGAGUCAUUGUGGAUCGCCGUUGAACGAAGUCUGUGAAGGUUUGGAAGUCUACCUUGAAGACUUACCAGGGUGAUUGGGCGAGGACUGGGUGUCCUUAGCUCAAUGGGAAUAAGGUGAAGAUGCGGUCUUCUGAGUUGAAUCUCAGCCUCCCUAACCAGACGUACAGUUGUCACAGCAACUGGAACUUGUCCAACAAAUCAUUGUCUUCAACGAGCCACUGGUUCUAUCCUUUCCAUCUCUUUAUUUGCAGUUGGUCCUUGUGAAGUCAUUGCCUGUUUGCAUUAUCUUUUUAUCUUCACUGGGUAACUGCCUGUUCAGAUUGGUUUCAUACCAUCUUCCGCCCUGAUCUAUACUGCCUAGCUGCUAUUAGUCGUUGUGCUUUCGCUUCUUUGAAUACUUGACUAUGGCUUGCCUAGUGUAGUCUACCUUCCACUGCAUGGUAAUAGGUUUGUUUCUAUCGUUUGUCUUUCAAACUUCCAUGUUUUGAAGACUUUCAUAAAAAUCGCAUAUUCACCCCCCUCUAGUCGAUCACUAGCACUUUCAAUUGGUAUCAGAGCAAGGUACUCCCUUGUUCUGUGUGAUUCGGUUUAACCACCUGGAGUUUUAGCUAUGUCGACUACAGGGAUAAUCAAAGUCUCCGCUGCGUGCCCCGUCUUCGAUGGAACUGAAUAUCCCUACUGGAAGAAUAAGAUGCGCAUGCAUAUUGAAGCCAUUGAUGUCGACCUCUGGUAUGUCGUCAAGAAUGGCGUUCCCAAGGCUGGUGAAGGUGUCACCGCUGCUGAUGUCAAGAAGUUCAUUCAACUGGAUUCCACUGCCAAAAACAUCAUCUGUGGUCAUUUGACCAAAGGGCAGUACGGCCGUGUGAGGGCUCUGGAAACAUCGAAGCUAGCCUGGGACUGGCUCUCCAAGGUCAACGAAGACGUCUCUGUUGGGGAACGUUGCAGAAAAUUAAAUUUUUUCCUACGGUUUCACCAAGAUCCAUCUAUGAGUUCAUCUAAGCAAUGAGUCAAGGGAGAGAGUUUGCAUCUACAUACCACUUGUAGAUCGCGUGCGGAAGCUUGCAAGGUGAUGAUGUAGUCGUGCUCGACGUGAUUCGAAUCACCGAUGACCAAGUGCUGAACGGACAGCACCUCCGCGUUCAACACACGUACGGGACGGGAGACGUCUCCUCCUUCUUGAUCCAGCAAGGGGGAAGGAGAGGUUGAGGAAGACAGCUCCACCGGCAGCACGACGGCGUGGUGAUGGUGGAGAGGCAGUACUCCGACAGGGCUUCGCCAAGCACACAACGGAGGAGGAGAGGUGUUGGGGAGGGGAGGGCUGCGCCUUGGAGGGUGGUGCGGCUGCCCUCCCCUCACCCCUCUAUUUAUAGGGGGAAGGGAGAAGGGGGCCGCCCCCCUAGAACCCAUCUAGGGGGGGUGCGGCGGCCUAGGGGAGAGGGGAGAGGGUGGCUUGCCCCCCAAGCCAAGGGGGGCGCCCCCUCUAGGGUUCCCCCUCAACCCUAGGCGCAUGGGCCCAAGGGAGGGGGGUGCGGCCAGCCCACGAGGGGCUGGCUCCCUGCCCCACGCAGCCCAUGUGGCCCCCCGGGAGGGGUGGCCCCUCCCGGUGGACCCCCGAAACCCUUCCGGUGGCCCCGGUACAAUACCGGUAUGACCCCGAAACUUCCCGGUGUCCGUUUGACAACUUCCCAUAUAUAAAUCUUUACCUCCGGACCCUUCCGGAUCUCCUCGUGACGUCCAGGAUCCCAUCCGGGACUCCGAACAACAUUCGGUAGUCACAUACUAGUCUUCCUAAUAACCCUAGCGUCACCGAACCUUAAGUGUGUAGACCCUACGGGUUCGGGAGACAUGCAGACAUGACCGAGACGCUCUCAGUCAAUAACCAACAGCGGGAUCUGGAUACCCAUGAUGGCUCCCACAUGCUCCUCGAUGUUGUCAUCGGAUGAACCACGAUGUCGAGGAUUCGAUCAAACCCUGUAUGCAAUUCCCUUUGUCAAUCGGUACGUUACUUGCCCGAGACUCGAUCGUUGGUAUCCCAAUACCUUGUUCAGUCUCGUUACCGGCAAGUCACUUUACUCGUACCGUAAUGCAUGAUCCCGUGUCCAACACCUUGGUCACAUUGAGCUCAUAAUGAUGAUGCAUUACCGAGUGGGCCCAGAGAUACCUCUCCGUCAUACGGAGUGACAAAUCCCAGUCUCGAUCCGUGUCAACCCAAUAGCUACUUUCGGAGAUACCUGUAAUGCACCUUUAUAGUCACCCAGUUACGUUGUGACGUUUGAUACACCCAAGGCACUCUUACGGUAUCCGGGAGUUACACGAUCUCAUGGUCGAAGGAAGAGAUACUUGACACUGGCAAAGCUCUAGCAAAACGAACUACACGAUCUUUUAUGCUAUGCUUAGGAUUGGGUCUUGUCCAUCACAUCAUUCUCCUAAUGAUGUGAUCCCGUUAUCAACGACAUCCAAUGUCCAUAGUCAGGAAACCAUGACUAUCUGUUGAUCACAACGAGCUGGUCAACUAGAGGCUUACCAGGGACAUAUUGUGGUCUAAGUAUUCACACGUGUAUUACGAUUUCCGGAUAAUACAGUUAUAGCAUGAAUAAAAGACAUUUAUCAUGAACAUUGAAAUAUAAUAAUACUUUUAUUAUUGCCUCUAGGGCAUAUUUCCAACAGUCUCCCACUUGCACUAGAGUCACCAAUCUAGUUACAUUGUGAUGAAUCGAACACCCAUAGAGUUCUGGUGUUGAUCAUGUUUUGCACGCGAGAGAGGUUUAGUCAGCGGAUCUGCAACAUUCAGAUCCGUGUGCACUUUGCAAAUCUCUAUGUCUCCAUCUUGAACAUUUUCACGGAUGGAGUUGAAACGACGCUUGAUGUGCCUGGUCUUCUUGUGAAACCUGGGCUCCUUGGCGAGGGCAAUAGCUCCAGUGUUGUCACAGAAGAGUUUGAUCGGCCCCGACGCAUUGGGUAUGACUCCUAGGUCGGUGAUGAACUCCUUCACCCAAAUCGCUUCAUGCGCUGCCUCCGAGGCUGCCAUGUACUCCGCUUCACACGUAGAUCCCGCCACGACGCUCUGCUUGCAGCUGCACCAGCUUACUACUCCACCAUUCAACAUAUACACGUAUCCGGUUUGUGACUUAGAGUCAUCCAGAUCUGAGUCGAAGCUAGCGUCGACGUAACCCUUUACGACGAGCUCUUCGUCUCUUCCAUAAACGAGAAACAUGUCCUUCGUCCUUUUCAGGUACUUCAGGAUAUUCUUGACCGCUGUCCAGUGUUCCUUGCCGGGAUUACUUUGGUAUCUUGCUACCAAACUUACGGCAAGGUUUACAUCGGGUCUGGUACACAGCAUGGCAUGCAUAAUAGAUCCUAUGGCUGAAGCAUAGGGGAUGACACUCAUCUCUUCUUUAUCUUUUGCCGUGGUCGGUGACUGAGCCGAGCUCAAUCUCACACCUUGUAACAUAGGCAAGAACCCCUUCUUGGACUGAUCCAUUUUGAACCUCUUCAAAAUCUUAUCAAGGUAUGUGCUUUGUGAAAGACCUUUGAGGCGUCUUGAUCUAUCUCUAUAGAUCUUGAUGCCUAAUAUAUAAGCAGCUUCUCCAAGGUCCUUCAUUGAAAAACACUUAUUCAAGUAGGCCUUAAUGCUGUCCAGAAAUUCUAUAUUAUUUCCCAUCAAGAGUAUGUCAUCUACAUAUAAUAUGAGAAAUGCUACAGAGCUCCCACUCACUUUCUUGUAAACGCAGGCUUCUCCAUAAGUCUGCAUAAACCCAAACGCUUUGAUCAUCUCAUCAAAGCGAAUGUUCCAACUCCGAGAUGCUUGCACCAGUCCAUAAAUGGAUCGCUGGAGCUUGCAUACUUUGUUAGCGUUCCGAGGAUCGACAAAACCUUCCGGCUGCAUCAUAUACAGUUCUUCCUUAAGAUGCCCGUUAAGGAAUGCCGUUUUGACGUCCAUUUGCCAUAUCUCAUAAUCAUAGUAUGCGGCAAUUGCUAACAUGAUUCGGACGGACUUCAGCUUCGCUACGGGAGAGAAAGUCUCGUCGUAGUCAAUCCCUUGAACUUGUCGAUAACCCUUAGCGACAAGUCGAGCCUUAUAGAUUGUAAUAUUACCAUCCGCGUCCGUCUUCUUCUUAAAGAUCCAUUUGUUUUCUAUCGCUCGCCGAUCAUCGGGCAAGUCUAUCAAAGUCUAUACUUUGUUUUCAUACAUGGAUUCUAUCUUGGAUUUCAUGGCUUCAAGCCAUUUGUUGGAAUCCAGGCCCGCCAUCGCUUCUUCAUAGUUCGAAGGUUCAUCGUUGUCUAAAAACAUGAUUUCCAGGACAGGGUUGCCGUACCACUCUGGUGCGGAACAUGUCCUUGUGGACCUACGAAGUUCAGCAGUAACUUGAUCCGAAGUACCUUGAUCAUUAUCAUUGUUUUCCUCUUCAGUUGGUGUGGGCAUCACGGGAACGGUUUCCUGCGCUGCGCCACUUUCCCGCUCAAGAGGUAGUACUUCAUCGAGUUCUACUUUCCUCCCACUUACUUCUUUCGAGAGAAACUCUUUUUCCAGAAAGCAUCCGUUCUUGGCAACAAAGAUCUUGCCUUCGGAUCUUAAGUAGAAGGUAUACCCUACAGUUUCCUUAGGGUAUCCUAUGAAUACGCAUUUUUCCGACUUGGGUUCGAGCUUUUCAGGUUGAAGUUUCUUGACAUAAGCAUCGCAUCCCCAAACUUUUAGAAACGACAGCUUAGGUUUCUUUCCAAACCAUAAUUCAUACGGUGUCGUCUCAACGGAUUUAGACGGUGCCCUAUUUAAAGUGAAUGUAGCUGUCUCUAGAGCGUAUCCCCAAAAUGAUAGCGGUAAAUCGGUAAGAGACAUCAUAGACCGCAUCAUAUCCAAUAGGGUGCGAUUACGACGUUCGGACACACCGUUUCGCUGAGGUGUUCCAGGCGGCGUGAGCUGUGAAACGAUUCCACAUUUCCUUAAGUGUGUACCAAAUUCGUGACUUAAGUAUUCUCCUCCACGAUUUGAUCGUAAGAAUUUUAUCUUUCGGUCACGUUGAUUCUCUACCUCAUUCUGAAAUUCCUUGAACUUUUCAAAGGUCUCAGACUUGUGUUUCAUUAAGUAGACAUACCCAUAUCUACUCAAGUCAUCAGUGAGAGUGAGAACAUAACGAUAUCCUCCGCGAGCCUCAACGCUCAUUGGACCGCACACAUCAGUAUGUACGAUUUCCAACAAGUUGGUUGCUCGCUCCAUUGUUCCGGAGAACGGAGUCUUGGUCAUUUUGCCCAAAAGGCAUGGUUCGCACGUGUCAAACGAUUCAUAAUCAAGAGACUCUAAAAGUCCAUCGGCAUGGAGCUUCUUCAUGCGCUUGACACCAAUGUGACCAAGGCGGCAGUGCCACAAGUAUGUGGGACUAUCGUUAUCAACUUUAAAUCUUUUGGCAUCUACACUAUGAACAUGUGUAAUAUUACGCUCGAGAUUCAUUAAGAAUAAACCAUUGACCAUCGGAGCAUGACCAUAAAACAUAUCUCUCAUAUAAAUCGAACAACCAUUAUUCUCAGAUUUAAAUGAGUAGCCAUCUCGUAUUAAACGAGAUCCAGAUACAAUGUUCAUGCUCAAACUUGGCACUAAAUAACAAUUAUUAAGGUUCAAAACUAAUCCCGUAGGUAAAUGUAGAGGCAGCGUGCCGACGGCGAUCACAUCGACUCUGGAACCAUUCCCGACGCGCAUCGUCACCUCGUCCUUCCCCAGCCUCCGUUUAUUCCGCAGCUCCUGCUGUGAGUUACAAAUAUGAGCAACGGCACCGGUAUCAAAUACCCAGGAGUUACUACGAGUACUGGUAAGGUACACAUCAAUUACAUGUAUAUCAAAUAUACCUUUGGUUUUGCCGGCCUUCUUAUCUGCUAAGUAUUUGGGGCAGUUCCGCUUCCAGUGACCCUUCCCCUUGCAAUAAAAGCACUCAGUCUCAGGCUUAGGUCCAUUCUUUGACUUCUUCCCGGUAACUGGCUUACCAGGCGCGGCAACCUCCUUGCCGUCCUUCUUGAAGUUCUUCUUACCCUUGCCCUUCUUGAACUUAGUGGUCUUAUUGACCAUCAACACUUGAUGUUCUUUCUUGAUUUCAGCCUCUGCUGACUUCAGCAUCGAGAACACUUCAGGAAUGGUCUUUUCCAUCCCCUGCAUGUUGUAGUUCAUCACAAAGCUCUUGUAGCUUGGUGGGAGCGACUGGAGGAUUCUGUCAAUGACCGCCUCAUCUGGGAGGUUAAUGGUCAGCUGGGUCAUACGGUUGUGCAACCCAGACAUCUUCAGGAUGUGCUCACUAACAGAACUGUUUUCCUCCAUCUUACAACUGUAGAACUUGUCGGAGACAUCAUAUCUCUCGACCCGGGCAUGAGCUUGAAAAACUAGUUUCAGCUCUUCGAACAUCUCAUAUGCUCCGUGGUGCUCAAAACGCUUAUGGAGCCCCGGUUCUAAGCUGUAAAGCAUGCCGCACUGAACGAGGGAGUAAUCAUCAGCGCGAGUUUGCCAAGCAUUCAUAAUGUCUUGGUUCUCUGGGACGGGAGCGUCACCUAGCGGUCCUUCUAGGACAUAUUGUUUCCUGGCAGCUAUGAGGAUGAUCCUCAGGUUCCGGACCCAGUCCGUAUAGUUGCUGCCAUCAUCUUUCAGCUUGGUUUUCUCUAGGAACGCGUUGAAGUUCAUGUUGACAUUAGCAUUGGCCAUUGAUCGACAAGACAUAUUUGCAAAGGUUUUAGACUAAGUUCAUGAUAAUAAAGUUCUAAUCAAAUUAUGAACUCCCACUUAGAUUAGACAUCCCUCUAGUCAUCUAAGUGUUACACGAUCCGAGUCGACUAGCCCGUGUCCGAUCAUCACGUGAGACGGACUAGUCAUCGUCGGUGAACAUUCUCAUGUUGAUCGUAUCUUCCAUACGAUUCGUGUUCGACCUUUCGGUCUCCGUGUUCCGAGGCCAUGUCUGCACAUGCUAGGCUCGUCAAGUUAACCCUAAGUGUUUUCGCUGUGUAAAACUGUCUUACACCCGUUGUAUGUGAACGUAAGAAUCCAUCACACCCGAUCAUCACGUGGUGCUUAGAAGCGACGAACUGUAGCAACGGUGCACAGUUAGGGGAGAACACUUCUUGAAAUUUUGUAAGGGAUCAUCUUAUUUACUACCGUCGUCCUAAGUAAACAAGAUGCAUAAACAUAAUAAACAUCACAUGCAAUUAUAUAUAGUUGUGACAUGAUAUGGCCAAUAUCAUAUAGCUCCAUUGAUCUUCAUCUUCGGGGCUCCAUGAUCAUCUUGUCACCGGCUUGACACCAUGAUCUCCAUCAUCAUGAUCUCCAUCAUCGUGUCUUCAUGAAGUUGUCACGCCAACGACUACUUCUACUUCUAUGACUAACGUUUAGCAAUAAAGUAAAGUAGUUUACAUGGCGUUAUUCAAUGACACGCAGGUCAUACAAAAAAUAAAGACAACUCCUAUGGCUCCUGCCGGUUGUCAUACUCAUCGACAUGCAAGUCGUGAAUCCUAUUACAAAGAACAUGAUCUCAUACAUCACAAUUCAUCAUUCAUCACAACUUCUGGCCAUAUCACAUCACAUGAUCAAUCGCUGCAAAAACAAGUUAGACGUCCUCUAAUUGUUGUUGCAUCUUUUACGUGGCUGCAAUUGGGUUCUAGCAAGAACGUUUUCUUACCUACGAAUCACCACAACGUGAUUUUGUCAACUUCUAUUUACCCUUCAUAAGGGCCCUCUUCAUCGAUUCCGCUCCAACUAAAGUGGGAGAGACAGACACCCGCCAGCCACCUUAUGCAACUAGUGCAUGUCAGUCGGUGGAACCGGUCUGACGUAAGCGUACGUGUAAGGUUGGUCCGGGCCGCUUCAUCCCACAAUACUGUUGAGCAAGAAAAGACUAGUAGAGGCAAGUAAGAUGACAAAAUCCACGCCCACAACAAAAUUGUGUUCUACUCGUGCAAAGAGAAGUACGCAUAGACCUAGCUCUGAUACCACUGUUGGGGAACGUUGCAGAAAAUUAAAAUUUUUCCUAUGGUUUCACCAAGAUCCAUCUAUGAGUUCAUCUAAGCAACGAGUCAAGGGAGAGAGUUUGCAUCUACAUACCACUUGUAGAUCGCGUGCGGAAGCUUGCAAGGUGAUGAUGUAGUCGUGCUCGACGUGAUUCGAAUCACCGAUGACCAAGUGCUGAACGGACAGCACCUCCGUGUUCAACACACGUACGGGACGGGAGACGUCUCCUCCUUCUUGAUCCAGCAAGGGGGAAGGAGAGGUUGAGGAAGACAGCUCCACCGGCAGCACGACGGCGUGGUGAUGGUGGAGAGGCAGUACUCCGACAGGGCUUCGCCAAGCACACAACGGAGGAGGAGAGGUGUUGGGGAGGGGAGGGCUGCGCCUUGGAGGGUGGUGCGGCUGCCCUCCCCUCACCCCUCUAUUUAUAGGGGGAAGGGAGAAGGAGGCCGGCCCCCUAGAACCCAUCUAGGGGGGGUGCGGCGGCCUAGGGGAGAGGGGAGAGGGUGGCUUGCCCCCCAAGCCAAGGGGGGCGCCCCCUCUAGGGUUCCCCCUCAACCCUAGGCGCAUGGGCCCAAGGGAGGGGGGUGCGGCCAGCCUACCAGGGGCUGGCUCCCUGCCCCACGCAGCCCAUGUGGCCCCCCGGGAGGGGUGGCCCCUCCCGGUGGACCCCCGGAACCCUUCCGGUGGCCCCGGUACAAUACCGGUAUGACCCCGAAACUUCCCGGUGUCCGUUUGACAACUUCCCAUAUAUAAAUCUUUACCUCCGGACCCUUCCGGAUCUCCUCGUGACGUCCAGGAUCCCAUCCGAGACUCCGAACAACAUUCGGUAGUCACAUACUAGUCUUCCUAAUAACCCUAGCGUCACCGAACCUUAAGUGUGUAGACCCUACGGGUUCGGGAGACAUGCAGACAUGACCGAGACGCUCUCAGUCAAUAACCAACAGCGGGAUCUGGAUACCCAUGAUGGCUCCCACAUGCUCCUCGAUGUUGUCAUCGGAUGAACCACGAUGUCGAGGAUUCGAUCAAACCCUGUAUGCAAUUCCCUUUGUCAAUCGGUACGUUACUUGCCCGAGACUCGAUCGUUGGUAUCCCAAUACCUUGUUCAGUCUCGUUACCGGCAAGUCACUUUACUCGUACCGUAAUGCAUGAUCCCGUGUCCAACACCUUGGUCACAUUGAGCUCAUAAUGAUGAUGCAUUACCGAGUGGGCCCAGAGAUACCUCUCCGUCAUACGGAGUGACAAAUCCCAGUCUCGAUCCGUGUCAACCCAAUAGCUACUUUCGGAGAUACCUGUAAUGCACCUUUAUAGUCACCCAGUUACGUUGUGACGUUUGAUACACCCAAGGCACUCUUACGGUAUCCGGGAGUUACACGAUCUCAUGGUCGAAGGAAGAGAUACUUGACACUGGCAAAGCUCUAGCAAAACGAACUACACGAUCUUUUAUGCUAUGCUUAGGAUUGGGUCUUGUCCAUCACAUCAUUCUCCUAAUGAUGUGAUCCCGUUAUCAACGACAUCCAAUGUCCAUAGUCAGGAAACCAUGACUAUCUGUUGAUCACAACGAGCUGGUCAACUAGAGGCUUACCAGGGACAUAUUGUGGUCUAAGUAUUCACACGUGUAUUACGAUUUCCGGAUAAUACAGUUAUAGCAUGAAUAAAAGACAUUUAUCAUGAACAUUGAAAUAUAAUAAUACUUUUAUUAUUGCCUCUAGGGCAUAUUUCCAACAGUCUCAACCCAGAGAGAUCAAAGGAUCAGUGUCCUUCGCAACCUCUUCAACCGCUUCAAGAGAAAUGACAAUGAGAAUGUUCAGCUCACGUUUGAUCGCCUUACUGACAUCACAAAUGAGCUUCAAGCUCUCGGCGCUACUGGGAUCACCAAGCAUGAAAUCGUCAAGACACUCCUGAGAUCACUUGACAGCUCAUUUGACACCCUAGCACUGAUGAUUCAAAAACGCCCUGACUUCAAGACACUCGAUCCGUCUGACAUACUUGAAAGGCUCAACACACAUGAGUUUCAGCUUUCUGAGAAAAGAGAUAUCUACGGUCCCAACUAUGGCCGAACUCGGGCCUUGAAGGCAAAAGCUGUCACCUCAUCUGAAGAAGAAUCUGACUGCAGUUCCGAUGAUCCUGAAGACAUUGGAAAGGAGCUUGCUAUGCUUGUGAAGAAGUUCCAAAAAUUCACCAAGAAGAAAAGCUUCAGAAAGUCUUCACGAUCAAGCUCAAGGAAUGAUGAAGCUUCUGCUCAUGACUACAAGAAGAGAACAUGCCACAAGUGCAAUAAACCUGGUCACUACAUCUCUGAGUGUCCGCAGUGGGACAAUGAGAACAAGAAGAAGAAGAAGAAGAAGAAGAAGAAGAAGAGCAAGGAAUAUGAUUCUGACGACAAGAAGAAGAAGAAAUACUCAAAGUCUUCUUCCAAGUCUUCCUCAAAGUCUUCAUCACACAAGAAGAGCUUGUCUGGCAAGGCUCGUGCGUUUGUUGGCAAGGAAAUGGAUUCAGAGGAGGAGUCUGCUUCUGAGGAGGCGGAGGUGGAGUCUGAGGAGGAGUCCGACUCUGGCGUUGCAAGUCUGGCUACAGCGUACGUUGCCAAGUCCAUCUUCAACACCGAAGACAAUGACUUAAUCACCGACGCCGAUGCUGAUGACAAGGACAACUCCGCUCCCACCUACUGCUUCAUGGCACGCGGUGCCAAGGUAAACUCACGCAAUGCUCACUAUCAAACAUCCAGUGAAGAUGACUCCGACUGUGGUUCCAAACCUAGCUACAAAACACUUGCUAAAAUUGCAACUGAACAACAAAAAGCUAUGGAACAUAUUCAAAAACUGUUAGACAAAAGCGAUGACCUGUUGGAUGCUGAAAUGACUCGAUCUCAGUCCUUAAUUGAAGACAUAAAAAAUCUUCAUGUUAAGUAUGAGGAACUUGAAAGUCGUCCUGAAAUGCUCUCAGCAACUCAUGAAAAGCUUUCAUAUGAUUAUCUUCAAAGGAAGCAAGAACUUGAUAAAUUGAGAGCGGUUCAUGAAGAUCUUCAAAAGGAAAACGAGUCACUUCGCGCUAAACAGAUCAGCCCCGCUCAGGAAGGAUUUGAACCACCAUGUCUUUAAUGCCUUGAGCGUGAUAACGCUGCUUCUGUUGCUGAAUUUUCUACUGCUGCUACUGUUGCAAUAUCUUCAAUUGUUGAUGUGGUAACUAACCCCUCUGCUGAGGAUGCCACUGCUAUUGCUGAUAAAAAUGCUAGGUUGAAGACAUUGCUUGAAAUAGGGAUGUACAAAAGUCUCAAAGGGCAUUAGACACUAUGUGAUGUCCUCAAAAGGCAGAUUCUGAACCAAAACCCUAGGAAAGAGGUUGUUGGGUUCGAAAGGAAAAUGAAUGUUGAUGGCUCUUACUGGAAGCCUGAGCAGUACCCCAAAACCACAUGGGUUGCUGCAAAGAACCUUCAGUGGAUCCAUCUACCCUAUCUGGCUUCACUUGUGCUAAUCCUAUUAUCAUUGAUGAAUCCUUUGAUGCAAACUAUAAACUAUUUAAGAAUCAAAAUGGUGAAGUGUUUGCCAGGUAUAUUGGUAUUAACUGCAGGAAUGGGCCACCUAUGAAGAAAGUCUGGGUGCCCAAAAAGUGUCUGGAGAAUCUUCCUGUGAAUUUUGUCAUGACAUUACAAGGGAAGAAGACAAACCCCAGACCGCAGGCUUCAUAUGGUCCAAAGGCUUCAUACAGACAGAGGACUCACCUGAGUCGCACUAACACAAAUGUUUUGUAGGGAAAUCAUACCCAGGCCUAUGAAUAUGAGCGUGUUUCAUCGAACCGCCAUGUUCGUAAGACCAAGAACUACUCUGCUUAUUCCUAUAAGUAUUAUUCACCUCCUACAAAACUAUUUGCCAGGGCUUCAAAGCCAAAGUUCUCAGAUGCUGCACUUAGACUCAUUGCUUCGAAGCCACCCUUGAAAAUGUGGGUGGCUAAGAAAGCUUAACUCUUUUUUGCAGUGAAAGGUCUCCAGCCGAAAAUCAAAUGCGUCUGAAGCUAUUGCUAGGGACCUAAAACAUCUUGUAGGGCACAAGAUCAAAUGCCCAAAUGGUCUUUGAGGGAGUCCUGGAUUAGGGGGUCUCCGGACAGCCAGACUAUAUCCUUUGGCCGGAUUGUUGGACUGUGAAGAUACAAGAUUGAAGACUUCAUCCCGUGUCCGGAUGGGACUCUACUUGGCGUGGAAGGCAAGCUAGGCAAUACAGAUAUGUAUAUCUCCUCCUUUGUAACCGACCUUGUGUAACCCUAGCUCUGCCAUCGGACAGUGUCCAGGAGAUCACGCCGGCUACCGCUCCGACACUCAAUUUGGAGCCAGUUGCGCCAUCCAUGGACGGGUGGAUAGACCCCGCCACGGAGGCCGCACUCUCAUCGGCUAUCGCGUCUUCGAGUCAAGCUCCAACGCCUCGUGCUUCGUCAUGAGAGCUUGGAGCUCUUGCUGCACCUCGCCCACCCGUGGCUCUUGCUUUUCCCGCUCGGUGCGCUCCUUGGCCGCUUUGUCUUCGGCCUCGGACAUCACUUGCUUUAGGGUCGCACUUCGGUCGUGGCCCCUGGCACAUUCAUGAUGAUCCUGUCAUUUCGCAAUCGCAUCGUUUUUGUAUAUAUAUAUAUAUAUAUAUAUAUAUAUAUAUAUAUAUAUAUAUAUAUAGACAAGGUAUUACUUACCUUUGUUCUCCUCGAGCUGCCUCUUGGUAAGGCCGAGCUCUUUCUCGGAGGUCCUGCUUCAGUACGGCGACCUCCGCAGUCAGUGCGCCAGAGGUCAGUAGCGAAGCCUGCAUACACAUAUAGACAUACUUAUAUUAGACUCCUGCAGAUACUAUUCGAUCCUCUAUUCAGCUUUUCUUUGUGAGCACCAAACAGAGCAUCAGGGGCUACUGUCUAUGCGGUAAUAUUUUUUAUAUAUUUUAAAUACUUACCUCAAACCCUGUUAGAAGGCUGGCACAGGCUUCAGUCAGUCCGCUCUUGGCGGACUGAACCUUCUUGAUCACCGCACUCAUAAUAGUGCGGUGCUCUUCGUCGAUGGAAGCACCGCGAAGCGCUCCCAGCAGGUUGUCCGGUGCCUCUGGAUGGACAGAGGUCACCGGCACGGGCAUCUUACCCCUUUUGGAAGGGGGCCGGCUGCCCGAGUCUGGCUGAGAGCCAAACUUGGAGUCCCCGGGAGCCUUGCUCCCUUUGCUCCUAGAGUCCGGAAGGUCGCCUUGAGGCGCCUCCGGGACUGUCUCCUCCCAGCUCGAUGCCCCUUGAUACAAUACCUCGGCAUUGUCUGUAGGGCAAGGGGAGGAGGCGGUCGGAAGUGGAUCGCUAUCCAUAUCCGACGAGUCCAAGGAACCGUCCGACGAGGAUACGUCGAUACGGGCUUGGGGCGGUCUGCAUAAUCAUAUUCGGCGUUAGGAGAAGCAGUGCGACAAAGGUAUGCUAUGAGUUACUCUGGUAUCCAAAUACUUACGACUUCGCCAGGGGCUUGGCCCUGAGCAGCCACUCGUCUUCACCUUUGGCGGCGGUGGUGGAGCAGUCCGGAAGGAGAGUCCUUCCUUUCUUGGACCCUUCGGCCUCCCCGAUUGGGGCGACCUUCCUUUUCUUGUCUCCCCCGGUUGGAGGGGGAGCAUCUUCAUCUUCCUCCUCCUCAUUUUUGUGGGAGGAGUGCGUCUCGGAAUUAUAGGACGAUGAGUCCAAUACCACCUGGCGCUGGGAACACUUUCAGGUUCCCUUGGCCUUCUUCUUGGUCUUAUCCGGCACCUCAUAAGGAGCCGGAGUCCGCAUCUCCGUCAGGAGAGCGUCCGCAGUGUCUUCGGGCAGAGGGGCCGGACAGUCAAUCUGCUCCGAUGCCUCCACCCAGUCCAGUUAAAGGCAUGGGAGCUCAGACCCCGCACAUGGUUAAGCUAUGGGAAAUAAAUAUCCUACCAGGUGUACAGAACUUACCGGAUUCGCAGGGCGUUUCGUGCUUAGCCCGCGGUCCUCGGUGGGAGAGGGAGGGACCUCGGCGCCCUUGAACAGCACCCUCCAGACGUCUUUGUGUGUCGUGUCGAAGAGCUCACUUAGAGUCUGGUGCCGGGCCGGGUCGAACUCCCAUAAAUUGAAAUCCCGUUGUUGACACGGGAGGAUCUGGCGAAAGAGCAUGACCUGGACUAUGUUGACAAGCUUAAGUUUCUUGCUUGUCAUGUUCCGGAUACACUUCUGGAGUCCGUCCAGCUCCACCGAUGAACCCCAGGAUAGGCCCUUCUCCUUCCAGGAAGUGAGCCGCGUGGGGAUUCCGGAUCGAAAGUCGGGGGCCGCCACCCAGUUCGUAUCACACGGCUCGGUGAUGUAGAACCACCGCGAUUGCCACCCCUUUACGGUCUCCACGAAGGAGCCCUCGAUCCAUGCAACGUUGGGCAUUUUGCCCACCAUGGCUCUGCCGCAUUCCGCUUGUUGGCCGCCUACAUCCUUCGGCUCUAUAUUGAAGGUCUUCAGCCAUAGGCCGAAGUGGGGCCGGAUUCGGAGGAAAGCCUCGCACACGACGAUGAACGCCAAGAUGUUGAGGAUGAAAUUCGGGGCCAGAUCAUGAAAGUCCAGCCCGUAGUAGAACAUGAGGUCGCGGACGAAUGGAUGGAGGGGAAACCCCAAUCCGCGGACAAAGUGGGGGAGGAAAACCACCCUUUCGUGAGGUUCCGGGGUAGGGACGACCUGCCCCGCGGCUGGCAGCUGGUGCGUGAUGUCCGCGGCUAAGUAUCCGGCUCCACGUAACUUUUUGAUGUGCCCCUCCGUGACGGAGGAGGCCAUCCACUUGCCUCCCGCUCCGAACAUGUUUGGAGAGAGUUGAGGAGGAGGAUGCAGACUUGGGCGCUGGAGCUCGAGUGCGCGAGAAUGGAUGAGCAAGGAGGAAGAAGGUGUGGGUAGAAAAAGGUGAGAUCUUAUCCCUUUAUAAGGGCGGACUAAACUAUGCGCCCCCACUAGCCUGGUAAAACUCACUUAUCCCCCAAGCACCGUAAUUGAUGGUGCGGUUGGGUUACCCACGUCUGUAUUGAUGAGAAUCCCGUAAUAAGGGGAACACAAUCUCUGCUUUGACAAGACGUGUCAAGAAACCGCCUCACAUUAUGUGUGGGGCUAGUUAAAGAAAAACGGUUCGAAUAAUUACCGGGCCAUGACAUGAUGUCAUGCUGCCAAAACGUGUCAGCAGAUUAGAUUUGUGGAAAUGUUAUUCUCUCUACGGUGGUAUGUGGAACUUAUUUUGCAGGGGCGGACACUAUCCUUGUACUCAAACUCUUCCGUGGUGUAGUCGGAGGAGGAACCCGCCUUGCAAUGCCGAAGACAACACUGCGCGCUGGACUCAUCAUUAUUGAAGCCUAAUUCAAGGGCUACUGAGGGAGUCCUGGAUUAGGGGGUCUCCGGACAGCCGGACUAUAUCCUUUGGCCGGAUUGUUGGACUAUAAAGAUACAAGAUUGAAGACUUCGUCCCGUGUCCGGAUGGGACUCUACUUGGCGUGGAAGGCAAGCUAGGCAAUACGGAUAUGUAUAUCUCCUCCUUUGUAACCGACCUUGUGUAACCCUAGCCCCUUCCGGUGUCUAUAUAAACCGGAGGGUUUUAGUCUGUAGGACAACAUACAAUCAUACCAUAGGCUAGCUUCUAGGGCUUAGCCUCUCCGAUCUCGUGGUAGAUCAACUCUCGUAAUACCCAUAUUAUCAAGUAUAAUCAAGCAGGAUGUAGGGUUUUACCUCCAUCAAGAGGGCCCGAACCUGGGUAAAACAUCGUGUCCCCUGCCUCCUGUUACCAUCCGCCUUAGACGCACUGUUCGGGACCCCCUACUCGAGAUCCGCCGGUUUUGACACCGACAUUGGUGCUUUCAUUGAGAGUUCUUCUGUGUCGUCACUGUUAGGCUUGAUGGCUCCUUCGAUCAUCGAUAGCGAUGUAGUCCAGGGUGAGACUUUUCUCCCCGGGUAGAUCUUUGUAUUUGGCUGCUUCGCGCUACGGGCCAACUCGCUUGGUCAUCUGGAGCAGAUCGAGAGUUACGCCCCUGGCCAUCAGGUCAGGUUUGGAAGCUUAAACUACACGGCCGAUAUCCGUGGAGACUUGAUCUACGACGGAUUCAAGCCCCUGCUUAGUGCGCCAUGCGGUCACGAUGAGCAUGGUUUAGCUCUGCCAUCGGACAUUGUCCAGGAGAUCGCGCCGGCUACUGCUCCGACCCUCAAUUCGGAGCCAGUUGCACCAGCCAUGGACGGGUGGAUAGACCCCGCCACGGAGGCCGCACUCUCGUCGGCUAUCGAGCCGAGUAUCGACCUUACCCUUCAUGAGAGCCGUGACGCCGAACUACCGGAUUCCUCCCCGGCCACGGACUCCGAACCGCCUGCGCCCAUGCCUAUCGAAUGCGAUUGGGCGCCGAUCAUGGAGUUUACCUCCGCGGAUAUUUUUCAGCACUCGCCCUCCGGCGACAUACUGAACUCAUUAAGGUCUCUCUCCUUGUCAGGAGAGUCCUGGCCGAACUAUGUCCGGCAGGAUUGGGAUGCGGAUGACGAAGAAAUUCGCCGCCCACCCACCACCCACUUAGUGGCCACUAUCAACGACUUAACCGACAUGCUCAACUUCGACUCCGAAGACAUCGAUGGUAUGGACGACGAUGCGGGAGAUGAAGAGGAACCACUGCCCACAGGGCACUGGACAUCCACCUCAUCAUAUGAUAUAUAUAUGGUGGACACACCCAAACAAGGCAAUGGCGACGGGACAACGGAGGAUGACCCCUCCAAGAAGCAACCCAAGCGCCGACGUCAGCGGCGCCGCUCUAAGUCUCGCCAAAGCAAAGCGGUGACACCGGCACGGGAAAUAAUAACACUCCGGACAGUGCCGAAGAUGAAAACAAUCCCCUCUAGUAAGAUUUAGGGCAGGAGGAUGGAGAAACCAGCCCUCCCGAGAGAGAGGCAGAUGGAGAAGCGGAGGAUGAUAAUUACAUGCCUCCCUCCGAAGACGAGGCAAGCCUCAACGAUGAAGAAUUCAUCGUGCCUGAGGAUCCCAUCGAACAAGAGCGCUUCAAGCGCCGGCUUAUAGCCACGACAAAUAGCCUUAAGAAAAAGCAACAACAGCUUCAAGCUGAUCAAGAUUUGCUAGCUGACAGAUGGAUUGAAGUCCUUGCGGCCGAGGAAUAUAAACUCGAACGCCCCUCCAAGAGUUACCCAAAGCGCAGGUUGCUACCCCGACUGGACGAGGAAGCACCAAAACCUACAUCUCCACCGUAUGAUGCGGCUGAUCGGCCACCUCGUGGCCGCGACAAAGAGGCAUUCCAGCCAAAAGUUCAGCCCGCACCUUGACGCCACUCAAAUAAAAAUGUCAAGACAUGGGGAAAUACGCCAGACCUGCGAGACGUAUUGGAGGACAAAGCAAAACACGCAAGAUCGAUCUACGGAUCGCGAGGGCGUGCCGCUAUGCGAGACAAUAACCGUCACGCCGGAUACAGUAAAGGUAAGUCCGGCCAGGCCGAACACAGCGAACAAGACUCACUUGAGCUGCGUCGUGAUAUAGCCCAGUACAAAGGCGCCGCACACCCCCUAUGCUUCACAGACGAAGUAAUGGAUCAUCAAAUCCCAGAGGGUUUCAAACCCGUAAAUAUAGAAUCAUACGACGUCACAACAGAUCCUGCGGUAUGGAUCGAGGAUUUCCUCCUGCACAUCCACAUGGCCCGCGGUGAUGAUCUACACGCCAUCAAAUACCUCCCACUCAAGCUCAAAGGACCAGCUCGGCAUUGGCUCAACAGCCCGCCAGCAGAAUCCAUUGGCUGUUGGGAAGAUCCGGAAGCCGCAUUCCUUGACAACUUCCAGGGCACUUAUGUGCGACCACCAGAUGCCAAUGACUUGAGCCACAUAAUUCAGCAACCAGAGGAAUCGGCCAGGCAAUUCUGGACACGGUUCCUAACAAAGAAAAAUCAAAUCGUCGACUGUCUGGAUGCAGAGGCCCUAGCAGCUUUUAAGCACAACAUCCGCGAUGAGUGGCUCGCCCGACACCUUGGCCAGGAAAAGCCAAAAUCUAUGGCAGCCCUCACGACACUCAUGACCCUCUUUUGCGCGGGAGAAGACAGCUGGCUGGCUCGCAGCAAUAACACAUCAAAGAACCAUGGCAGGUCACGUCGCAACAAACAUAAGCGCCGCAUUAACAGUGACAAUACCGAGGAUACGGCAGUCAAUGCCGGAUUCAGAGGCUCUAAACCCGGUCAGCGGAAAAAGCCAUUCAAAAGAAGCACUCCGGGCCCGUCCAGUUUGGACCGUAUACUCGAUCGCUCAUGUCAAAUACACGGCACCUCAGACAAGCCAACCAACCACACCAACAUGGAUUGUUGGGUGUUCAAGUAGGCCGGCAAGUUAAAUGCCGAAAACAAAGAUAAGGGGUCACAUAGCAAUGACGAGGAGGAGCCUGGUAGCCGAACACCGGAGGACAGAAGAGGUUCCCCCCCACAAGUGCGGAUGGUGAACAUGAUAUACGCAACCCACAUCCCCAAGAGGGAGCGGAAGCGUGCGCUAAGGGACGUAUAUGCGUUGGAGCCAGUCGCCCCAAAGUUCAACCCAUGGUCCUCCUGUCCGAUCACCUUUGAUCACAGGGACCACCACACUAGUAUCCGUCAUGGCGGAUUCGCCGCACUGGUCUUAGACCCAAUCAUCGACGGAUUUCACCUCACUCGAGUCCUUAUGGACGGUGGCAGCAGCCUGAACCUGCUUUAUCAGGACACGGUGCACAAAAUGGGCAUAGACCCCUCAAGGAUCAAACCCACAAAAACAACCUUUAAAGGCGUCAAACCAGGUGUAGAGGCCCAUUGCACGGGCUCAGUCACGCUAGAAGUGGUCUUCGGAUCCCCGGAUAACUUCCGAAGCAAGGAGUUAAUCUUCGAUAUAGUCCCGUUCCACAGUGGCUAUCAUGCACUGCUCGGGCGAACCGCAUUUGCAAGAUUCAAUGCGGUACCGCAUUAUGCGUACCUCAAGCUCAAGAUGCCAGGACCUCGGGGGGUCAUCACAGUCAAUGGAAACAUAAAGCGCUCUCUCCACACGGAGGAGCACACGGCGGCCCUCGCAGCAGAAGCACAAAGCAGCCUCUUAAGAAAAUCCACCAGUUCGGCGAUUCAAGACCCGGACACCUUCAAGCGCGCCCGGAGUAAUCAGCAACAAGACCGCCUGGCACGUUCCGAGCUCGCAUAACAAUGCGGCCCCCACCCCAGUACCAGCCAAACGGCGAAAUCCGUGCCAUGUGUACAUAAUUAUGCAUUAAAAAUACCAUGGGCACAGGUGGGGAGGGGGCACGACUAUGGCACGCCCCAAGACGCGGCUCAACCGCACUAGGGGCUUCCCGCCUUAUUAUUUUUUUUCUCUUUCAGGACUUGAAUCUCUGGAAACCCCGUCCAGCAGUACGGUUGCCGGACACAUGAUGCAACAACCAAGGAGGCAGAAAGCUACGUCGCACCACAGAACUCCCAGGUGGUCUCUGACAACGAGUGAAAUACCUGCUUUACAUACCAAUCCUCAGCUUGCCCUUGGAGGGGACAUGUCAAAUAGUCAUACUUUUUGCUUAUCGCACUACUUGUAUCAUUCUGCUUUAACGCACCUUUUUGAAUAAACAAUGCAUAGCGCUAGACUAUUAUCGCAUUCUCUAUCCUUCUUUUUUUAUAUAUAUGUUCAUUCAUGACAUUCAGCACCCGUACACACUGGUACGGCCAAUAUGCCAGGGGCUUAAGCAUACUCCAUAAUACGGCGUGAGAAGUCCGAACACUUUCGACAGUGCGGCACCCCAAACUUAUAGCAUUAUAUGCAUCAGCUUCGAAUCAUGUCUUGGGUCAAUAGUUGGGUUUGCCCGGCUCCCAUGUUUUGGUACCUUAUGUUCCGCUAUACCGGCCAAGGUAGCACUGGGAGAACUACUGCGAUUGUUCCCCGGUUCAGCUGGGCUAAGCACCUCAAUAGAGAAAGCUAAAACUGACUGUCAUGAUAAGGCGAGAGACUGGUCGCUGUUCGAGAGGUUUCGAGUCCCUAAAGACUUAUGCCGCUUAGAGCGAGGAGUAGGCUUUGUCCGGCUUAAGGCGUGUAUAACGCCCCGAAUUCGGCCUUCCAAAUACUAGGGGCUUCGCCAAAAUUUAAAAUUAUAGAAUUCUAUGGCUAAGUGAGAGUGAUAAAGCAUUAUAGUCUGAUUGCCUUGUUCGUUGUGCUGAGCACCUCCCUCGAAGGACCCAAAAAUGGGAAAAAGAGUGCUCAUGUUUAUCCCGAACACCCCAGCACUCAUGGCAUGGGGGCAGAAGCCGACGACUAGCCAUCUCUCAGAUUUGAUAAACAGCCACACAUAAGGUAAUAUUUUAAAUUCAAACAAGCGUUGCAUAGCGCAUAUGAACAAGUUUUCAUACUACAGGAUCACAUGAGCAAGUUCAUUCAAAUAUUACAUCUUUCGCACACUCGUCCGCUACAAGAUGGGCACCCUACAGGACACCUUCAUAAUACAUCUCGGGGUGGCGAUGCUCCUUGCCCUGCGGUGGCCCCUCCUUCACCAGCUUCUCAGUGUCCAUCUUGGCCCAGUGCACCUUCGCACGGGCAAAGGCUCGGCGUGCACCCUCGAUGCAGACGGACUGCUUUAUGGCCUCCAGCCAUGGGCAGGCAUCCAUAAGCCGCCUCACCAGGCCAAAGUAGCUAUUGGGAAGGGUGUCGCCAGGCCACAUCCGGACUAUAAGGCCCCUCAUGGCCUGUUCGGCCACCUUGUGCAGCUCGACCAGUUGGUUCAGCUGAUCGCUCAUAGGCAUCGGGUGUUCGGUCCCAGUAUACUGAGACCAGAAAAGCUUCUCCGUCGAGCUUCCCUCCUCGGUCUGGUAAAACUUCGCGGUGUCCGACACAUUGCGGGGCAAAUCUGCGAAUGCUCCUGGAGAGCUCCAGACUCGGGUAAGUAACAAGUAAUUUACUUUCACAUGCUUGCUUUGCAUAUUGAAUGCCUUACCCGCCGCUAUCUUCCUCAUCGCCUCAAUCUCCUGGAGGGCCUUUUGGGCUUCAGCCUUGGCAUUCUUUGCGCUCUCAAGGGCCGUGGCAAGCUCAGACUCUCGCGUCUUCGAGUCAAGCUCCAACGCCUCGUGCUUCGUCAUGAGAGCUUGGAGCUCUUGCUGCACCUCGCCCACCCGUGCCUGUUGCUUUCCCCGCUCGGUGCGCUCCUUGGCCGCUUUGUCUUCGGCCUCGGACAUCGCUUGCUUUAGGGUCGCCACUUCGGUCAUGGCCCCUGGCACAUUCAUGAUGAUCCUGUCAUUUCGCAAUCGCAUCUUUUUUGUAUAUAUAUAUAUAUAUAUAUAUAUAUAUAGACAAGGUAUUACUUACCUUUGUUCUCCUCAAGCUGCCUCUUGGUAAGGCCGAGAUCUUUCUCGGAGGUCCUGCUUUAGUACGGCGACCUCCGCAGUCAGUGCGGCAGAGGUCAGCAGCGAAGCCUGCAUACGCAUAUAGACAUACUUAUAUUAGACUCCUGCAGAUAUUAUUCGAUCCUCUAUUCGGCUUUUCUUUGUGAACACCAAACAGAGCAUCAGGGGCUACUGUCUAUGCGGUAAUAUUUUUCCUAUAUUUUAAAUACUUACCUCAAAGCUUGUUAGAAGGCUGGCACAGGCUUCAGUCAGUCCGCUCUUGGCGGACUGAACCUUCUUGAUCACCGCACUCAUAAUAGUGCGGUGCUCUUCGUUGAUGGAAGCGCCGCGAAGCGCUCCCAGCAGGUUGUCCAGUGCCUCUAGAUGGACAGAGGUCACCGGCACGGGCAUCUUACACCUUUUGGAAGGGGCCGCCUGCCCGAGUCCGGAACAACUGGAGGUUUUAGCGCAGUGUUCGACCGAGAGCCGAACUUGGAGUCCCCGGGAGCCUUGCUCCCUUUGCUCCUAGAGUCCGAAAGGUCGCCUUGAGGCACCUCCGGGACUGUCUCCCCCCGGCUCGGUGCCCCUUGAGACAAUACCUCGGCAUUGUCUGUAGGGAAAGGGGAGGAGGCGGUCGGAAGUGGAUCGCUAUCCAUAUCCGACGAGUCCAAGGAACCGUCCGACAAGGAUACGUCGAUACGGGCUUGGGGCGGUCUGCAUAAUCAUAUUCGGCGUUAGGAGAAGCAGUGCGACAAAGGUAUGCUAUGAGUUACUCUGGUAUCUGAAUACUUACGACGUCGCCAGGGGCUUGGCCCUGAGCAGCCACUCGUCUUCGCCCUCGGCGGCGGCGGUGGAGCAGUCCGGAAGGAGAGUCCUUCCUUUCUUGGACCCUUCGGCCUCCCCGGUGGGGGAGGCCUUCCUUUUCUUGUCUCCCCGGCUGGAGGGGGAGCAUCUUCAUCUUCCUCCUCUUCGUUUUCGUGGGAGGAGUGCGUCUCGGAAUUAUCGGACGAUGAGUUCGAUACCACCUGGCGCCGGGAACUCUUUCAGGUUCCCUUGGCCUUCUUCUUGGUCUUAUCCGGCACCUCAUAAGGAGCCGGAGUCCGCAUCUCCAUCAGGAGAGCGUCCGCAGUGUCUUCAGGCAGAGGGGCCGGACAGUCAAUCUGCUCUGAUGCCUCCACCCUGUCCUGUUAAAGGCAUGGGAGCUCAGACCCCACACAUGGUUAAGCUAUGGGAAAUAAAUAUCCUACCAGGUGUACAUAACUUACCGGAUUCGCAGGGCGUUUCGCGCUUAGCCCGCGGUCCUCGGUGAGAGAGGGAGGGACCUCGGCGCCCUUGAACAGCACCCUCCAGAUGUCUUUGUGCGUCGUGUCGAAGAGCUCGCUUAGAUCUGGUGCCGGGCCAGGUCGAACUCCCAUAAGUUGAAAUCUCGUUGUUGACACGGGAGGAUCCGGCGGAAGAGCAUGACCUGGACUAUGUUGACGAGCUUAAGUUUCUUGCUUGUCAUGUUCCGGAUACACUUCUGGAGUCCGUCCAGCUCCACCGAUGAACCCCAAGACAGGCCCUUCUCCUUCCAGGAAGUGAGCCGCAUGGGGAUUCCGGAUCAAAAGUCGGGGGCCGCCACCCAGUUGGUGUUGCGUGACUCGGUGAUGUAGAACCACCGCGAUUGCCACCCCUUUACGGUCUCCACGAAGGAGCCCUCGAGCCAUGCAACAUUGGGCAUUUUGCCCACCAUGGCUCCGCCGCAUUCCGCUUGUUGGCCGCCUACAACCUUCGGCUUGAUAUUGAAGGUCUUCAGCCAUAGGCCGAAGUGGGGCCGGAUGCGGAGGAAAGCCUCACACACGAUGAUGAACGCCGAGAUGUUGUGGAUGAAAUUCGGGGCCAGAUCAUGAAAGUCCAGCCCGUAGUAGAACAUGAGGUCGUGGACGAAUGGAUGGAGGGGAAACCCCAAUCCGCGGAUGAAGUGGGGGAGGAAAACCACCCUUUCGUGAUGUUCCGGGGUAGGGACGACCUGCCCCGCGGGUGGCGGCCGGUGUGUGAUGUCCGUGGCUAAGUAUCCGGCUCCACGUAACUUUUUGAUGCGCCCCUCCAUGACGGAGGAGGCCAUCCACUUGCCUCCGCUCCGGACAUGUUUGGAGAGAGUUGAGGAGGAGGAUGCAGACUUGGGCGCUGGAGCUCGACUGCGCGAGAAUGGAUGAGCAAGGAGGAAGAAGGCGUGGGUAGAAAAAGGUGAGAUCUUAUCCCUUUAUAAGGGCGGACUAAACUAUGCGCCCCCACUAGCCUGGUAAAACUCACUUAUCCCCCAAGCAGCGUAAUUGAUGGUGCGGUUGGGUUACCCAUGUUUGUAUUGAUGAGAAUCCCGUAAUAAGGGGAACACAAUCUCUGCUUUGACAAGACGUGUCAAGAAACCGCCUCGCGUUAUGUGUGGGGCUGGUUAAAGAAAAACGGUUCGAAUAAUUACCGGGUCAUGACAUGAUGUCAUGCUGCCAAAACGUGUCAGGAUAUUAGAUUUGUGGAAAUGUUAUUCUCUCUACGGUGGUGUAUUCGGAGGAGGAACCCGCCUUGCAAUGCCGAAGACAACACAGCGCGCCGGACUCAUCGUCAUUGAAGCCUGAUUCAGGGGCUACUGAGGGAGUCCUGGAUUAGGGUGUCUCUGGACAGCCGGACUAUAUCCUUUGGCCGGAUUGUUGGACUAUGAAGAUACAAGAUUGAAGACUUCGUCCCGUGUCCGGAUGGGACUCUACUUGGCGUGGAAGGCAAGCUAGGCAAUACGGAUAUGUAUAUCUCCUCCUUUGUAACCGACCUUGUGUAACCCUAGCCCCUUCCGGUGUCUAUAUAAACCGGAGGGUUUUAGCCCGUAGGACAACAUACAAUCAUAUCAUAGGCUAGCUUCUAGGGUUCAGCCUCUCCGAUCUCGUGGUAGAUCAACUCUUGUAAUACCCAUAUUAUCAAGUAUAAUCAAGCAGGAUGUAGGGUUUUACCUCCAUCAAGAGGGCCCGAACCUGGGUAAAAUAUCGUGUCCCCUACCUCCUGUUACCAUCCGCCUUAGACGCACAGUUCGGGACCCCCUACCCGAGAUCCACCGGUUUUGACACCGACAGUCUUAUUAUGUAUUUUGUUCCUGAGUCGCUUGCUAUUUUUCCUAUCAGUCCUAACCUCGAUCUAAGCUUUCAUAAUCGACUUGCUUGUCAAAUGUUUAUGCUUCACAAUGCUCUUCGUGAAGCCUGUCCCCCUAACUGCACUAUAGGGUAUGACACCAGCUGCUUCAGAAUGGAUUAUUGAUAUUGGAUGUACUAAUCACAUGACUGGCGAACGAAGUCUUCUCAUGGACUCAACCUUAUGUCCAUCUGACAAAAGUCACAUCACAUUUGCUGAUACUGGUAAAAGCAAGGUAUUGGGUCUAGGUAGAGUUGCAAUCUCAAAGGAUCAGCACAUGGAUAAAGUGAUGCUUGUUGAAUCCCUUGGUUUCAACUUAAUGUCUGUCUUAAUGCUUUGCGAUUUAAACAUGAUUGUGAUAUUUGGAAAAUAUUGUUGUCUUGUUCUAAUGGAAUCUGACAAGUCUCUAGUCUUUGAAGGGAAUCGGAAAGAUGAUUUGUACAUGGUAGAUUUCUCAGCAGGACCACAACUUGCCGUAUGUCUUCUUGCAAAAGCUUCAGAGUGCUGGCUCCGGCAUCGGAGGCUAGGGCAUGCUGGCAUGAGGAACUUGCAUACUCUUGCGAAGAAGAAGCGCGUCAUAGGCAUCGAGGGCGUUAAGUUCAAGAAGGAUCACUCAUGCGGUGCCUGCGAAGCUGGAAAGAUGACGAGGGCCAAGCAUCCCUCGAAGACAAUCAUGACAACGACUCAACCCUUCGAACUGCCACACAUGGACCUCUUUGGCCCUACUCACUACUCAACUCUUACUACUACUGCUUGUCUCUAUGGCUUCGUCAUUGUUGAUGAUUAUUCAAGAUAUACAUGGGUGCAUAUAAUUAUCUACAAGACUGAAGUGCAGGAUGUCUUCAGACGCUUCGCCAAUCGAGCCAUGAACAACUAUGGCAUCAAGAUCAAGCACAUCAGAAGUGACAAUGGCACUGAAUUCAAGAACACCGGCCUCGACACUUAUCUUGAUACAUUGGGCAUCACUCAUGAGUUCUCAGCCCUGUACACGCCGCAACAGAAUGGCAUCAUGGAACGCAAGAAUAGAACAGUCAUUGAGAUGGCUCGGACGAUGCUCGAUGAAUACAAGACACCAAGAAAAUUCUGUCCUAAAGCCAUUGAUACUGCAUGCCACGUCAUCAACUGUGUUUAUCUUCACAAGCUUCUGAACAAAACAUCCUAUGAACUCCUCACCGGUAAGAAGCCAAACGUCAGUUACUUUAGAGUAUUUGGUGCCAGGUGUUGGAUCAAGGAUCCUCAUCACACUUCAAAAUUUGCACCGAAAGCACAUGAAGGUUUUAUGCUUGGUUACGGAAAGGAUUCGCACUCCUAUAGAGUCUUCAACCUUUUUCACUAUAAAGUGGUUGAAACUGUGGAUGUGCGGUUCGAUUAGACUAAUGGCUCGCAAAGAGAGAACCUGCCAAAUGUGCUAGAUGAAAUUCCACCCAGUGAAUCCAUCAAGCUUAUGGGAACUGGAGAAAUCAUACCGUCUGAAGUACAGCCUGAAGAGGAACUUAUCAUCUCUGCACCUGAUCAACCUGAAGACAAUGCUCAGCCUGAAGACAAUCCUUCAAACGAUGAAAAUGAUCAGCAAGAGCAAAAUCUUCGUCCAGUUCAUCCUCGUGUUGCAAAUGAAGUACAGAUUGAGAAGAUAAUCGAUAGCAUCAAUGCACCUGGUCCACUCACUCGAUCAAGGGCAACACAACUAGCAAAUUUCUAUGGACACUUUGCAUUCGUCUCAAUAUCAGAACCCAAGAAAGUUGAUGAAGCCUUCAUGGAACCUGAAUGGAUUCAAGCUAUCCAAGAAGAUCUUCAAUAGUUUGAGCUGAAUAAUGUAUGGGAACUGGUCAAGCACCCUGAUCCUCGUAAACACAAUAUCAUAGGCACUAAAUGGAUAUAUCGCAACAAGCAAGAUGAGCAUGGUCAAGUUGUCAGAAACAAGGCUCGUCUAGUUGCUGAAGGAUACACUCAAGUUGAAGGAAUUGACUUCGAUGAAACAUUUGAUCCUGUGGCUAGGCUUGAAACUAUACACAUACUACUGGCCUAUGCAAAUCAUCAUAGCAUUCUUCUGUAUCAAAUGGAUGUGAACAGUGCUUUUCUCAAUGGGAAGAUUGAAGAAGAAGUGUAUGUUGCACAACCGCCUGUCUUUGAAGAUCCAAAACAUCCUGACAUGGUUUACAAGCUCAACAAGGCACUAUAUGGUCUCAAACAAGCCCCUCGUGCUUGGUAUGACACACUCAAGGACGUCCUAAAGAGCAAAGGCUUCAAACCUGGUUCCCUGGUCCCCACACUCUUUACGAAGACAUAUGAUGGUGAAGUGUUUGUGUGCCAAAUAUAUGUGGAUGACAUUAUCUUCGGCUGCACCAAUCAGAAAUACAGUGAUGAGUUUGGAUACAUGAUGCAAGAGCAAUAUCAGAUGUCCAUGAUGGGUGAGCUGAAGUUCUUCCUUGUUCUUCAAAUACAACAACAAUGCAAUUGGAUCUUCAUAUCUCAAGAGAAAUACCUCAAAGAUUGCCUGAAGAAGUUUGGAAUGCAAGACUACAAAGGUUAUACGACGCCAAUGCCUACCAAGAGUUAUCUAGAUUUAGACGCCAAUGGUAAAAGAGUUCGAUCAAAAGGUAUACCGCUCCAUGAUUGGUUCUUUGCUUUACUUAUGUGCAUCUAGGCCAGAUAUCAUGCUUAGUGUUUGCAUGUGUGCCCGAUUCCAAGCGGCACCAAAGGAAUCACAUCACUUAGCUGUGAAGCGAAUUCUUCGAUAUUUGGCUUACACCCCAACACUAGGAUUAUGAUAUCCAAAGGGCUCAGAGUUUGAUCUAGUUGGAUUCUCGGAUGCUGAUUAUGCUGGUGACAAGGUGGAUCGCAAGUCUACAUCAGGCACUUGUCACUUUCUGGGACGAUCACUUGUGUGUUGGUCUUAAAAGAAGCAGAACUGUGUAUCUCUCUCCACUGCUGAAUCUGAAUACAUUGCUGCGCUAAGCUUCUAUGCAUGAAGCAAACACUCAAAGACUAUGGCAUUCAUCUGAAGCAAGUGCCACUCUACUGCGACAAUGAAAGCGCCAUCAAGAUUGCCAACAACCCAGUUCAGCACUCGAAGACAAAGCACAUUCAGAUCCGUCAUCACUUUCUCAGAGAUCAUGUCAUGAAGGAAGAUAUUGAUAUCAUUCACGUCAACACUGAAGAGCAGCUAGCAGAUAUCUUCACAAAGCCCUUGGAUGCGAAAAUGUUUUGCAAGUUGCGGUGUGAGCUAAAUAUCUUGGAAUCCUCAAAUGUCCUGUGAUCAUGCACACAUCCUAACACUUAUGCAUGUUGAUGACUUAGAUGUGCAAACACACGAAGUAACGUAUAUCUUCACCUAAUGAAGACUUACACUCUAAUUGUGAAUACAUUAACGUGGAAUUUGACUUUGGAGCACCACGAUAAUUGUGCACCGUGUCUGGGUCUAAUAUUUCCUAUACGGUGGGUAAUGCCACCACCAAACUUUUGUUUCGAAUAUUUUCUAUUGGUGUUACAUUUGCAAAUUCUUUGCAUUUGGUUUGUCUUCAUUGUUAACAUGGCUUCAUGUUUAUCUUCAAUAUACUGAUUUGGUUUCUGUCCUCUACAGCAUUCACUUAUAGCUAUGUCUUCUAGUUGAAUCUUUUGAGCUAAGUGAAUGUGAUUGGACCCUGACCUUUCUAUGCUCCCGUCUUAAGUCUAUCUAUCCAAAUCCUAUGCAUUCUAUUGAAACUGUCGAAUGUCUUCGCUGCGUCCUUGUCAGCAGAAGAUACAGAGACAAACAUUAAAUCUGUUUUAAAUGCUCAAUCCUUUUUGCCUGAAACCCGGAGAAGCGGGAACGACCACCCGACAAUCCAGGCAUGCGUGGGAACGUGGAACAACCUCCAAUGUGUUGCAUGAUCGCCACAUGUCCUUCAGAUGUGAACCGCCAGGGGCACCUGCGUAAUAACGAAGUGCCGUCCCUGUCCCUAUAAAUACACGCCUCCCCCCAGUCAUUAUCUCUUCUUCCACUUCUCUCUCUCUCUCUCUCUCUCUCGCACAAACCUAGCGCCACUGCUAGCCCUCGACGACACCGGCGACGAAGCGCUUAGCUGCCGCGACCUCACCGAUGCCGUCAUCACACCGGCCGCAGACAUCAUCUUCUCCACCGUUGUCGUAGCUGUCCUCCGUCGCCAAGUUAGGGCACGGAAGAUCGAACUGCUCGGCUUCAUCUCCUACUCUAUCUAGCAGUUCGUCGAGUGGUAAAUAAAACUCUUUUUACAGUCUUUUUGAUCCGAUAGAUUCAUCCUUUUCAACCGCAAGUGGUUUCUGUUCCUACAAAAUUGGAUCUCUCUCGUUCUGCAUCUCAUAGCAUGCCUAGUAUGUUCACUUAUGCUUCACAAAGUAGUUAGAUUCCUCACUUGUACUUAUUCGUGGAUUCAUACAAAUCUGGAACAAACUCUCUACAUAUGAGUGAAUGUCUUCGCACUAUGAGGUCAAUGUCUUCUAAAUCUGAUUUAUUUUCAAAAUCUUCUGAGAAUGCAUAUGACCUCUUCCCCUUCCCUCGCAUCUCUAAUGCUGUCAUAGGUACAUGUCUGUGGGAGAAUCCCUUGGUUCUCAUAGUCUGCAUUCAUUUGCAGAGUUCUUACAGCAUCACAUAAAUUCUCCUGAAGCCAGUUCCUGUCUGACCAGUAGACGGAAGACUCUGACAGUGUUGAAGCCUUUCAGUCUAAAAUUCAUGGCAACAGAAAAAUCAGUCAGGAAGGGUGGCAGAAAGCAACAUGGAAACACUGCUAAGGACGUGUCACCGGAUCUCUAUGAGUUAUACAAGUCAGAUCCAGAAGAGACCUAUGGAGAACGCAAGAUCCGAAUCCAAUGGAUUCAAAGACAUUGGGCAUAGGAAUGGUUCAAGUACAUAUUUGUCACCAAUGAAUAUGCUGAGAAGAAUUCCAUAAAGGGCCCCUGGGAGAUAUAAUAUACAAAGGUCUUCAGCCCAAGUCGAAGUCCGAAGCUAUUGCUCAGGGCUUCUACCCCUGCAUGAUUCAUGGACCUCAUCCUGCUAAUGCUGACCCAUCCUCUCUGUUAUGGUGUCGUGAAGAUAAUCUCUUCAAGCGCAACUUUCAGUUUGCAAAGAACUCGGCCAAGGAAAACAAGAAGUCUUUGGGAUUAGACUUCAACCCAGGCCCCUCUGCGCCACGUGCCGAUGGCACACGUGAAGCUGAACCCAAUCUUGUUGGGCCCUUCUACAACUUAGAAGGUCUCAUCACUCAUAUAACUGUUCAAGGGGUAGACGUGGAUCAACCUGCAGAUGACACUAAUACUGACAAAGCGCUUACACCAUCGAAGCCUGUGAAGCAAAAGAAACCAAAGGCUUCAAAACCCCUCUCUGCACCAAAAGUCUUACGGGCGAAGCCUCUGGCCACUGCACCGCCUGAAGCCAGUGUGCAGUUUGAAGAUCUCUCACGCAUCUCCAAGUCUAACAAGUUGAACAAGCCCAUGCAACCCACUAGUCGAGCACUGACCCCUACUGAUGUUUUGAGAAACGAGAAUGAUGCCAUUGAUCUGUCCAGCGACGACGAUCUUGGCGAUGACGCUCUUGAACAAUUGAUAAAGAGCAAGCAAGAGGCGGAAAUCUUCAAUGAUCUUCCCCUCUUUGAUGUGGAAAUCUUGUACAAGUUUAUUGAUGAGUGGUUUGAUAGCCCAGAUCUCAGUUUUGAUGAUCUUCAACUCCCAAUUGGCCUCAGCGUCUCCUUCCACGGAGCCAUUGCUCCUGAGCUGGCUCUUUCACAAAAGAUUGUUGAGCUAAAGCACAAAAUUGACUAUGAAAAGGCUCAGUUCAAGAAGAACAUGGCCAAGCUCAAUGUUGAAGACAUUCAAAACUUCAAGGUCAUGAUGCAUGAGCUCAAGGAGGCAUUCCACAAAAAUGAGAAGAAGCAAAAGGUUCUCAUGACCGCAUGAAGAAUCUCGCUGCCAAAUGUGUUCAAGGAUACAAUGAAGCUAAAAAGUGCAAGGCCUUGGGGCGACUAGACAUCGACCCCAGAAUGGCUGCCAAGAAGAAGAAGAAGAAGCCAGCUGUGGUCGAACCAGAAGCAUCAAGGUGGGAAGAACCUCGUAUUGUCUUCCCGGCCAGUAUGACAGGCUCGAAGCCUAAGGUCCCCACAGUGGCUUCGGAGUUCAAGAAAACGAGAGCAGCUGAAGCUGAAGCUAGAAAGCGCAAGACCAAAGCCACCACUGAUGAUGCUCCACCAACCAAGAAAAAGAAAACAAAGAAGAAAGACUGGGCUGCUUCCACAGAGCCCCUUUUCGUCGAGCCAAUUUCUAUUGCUCGUCCUUCCUCUGCACAUCAAGAACGUCAUCUGGUAGUUCAUGAGCCUGCUUACAUAGAGGCUCCUGAAGCUGAAGAGAAUCCAGCUGUUGACCCCACCGCAGCUGAAGACAUUGGUCCUCAAGCCAAUGUUGAAGAUGAUGAACUCCUUCCUCAGAUAGAGCUCAAUUUGGUAUCAUCGCCUGUUCUCACGAACAACGAAGUCAUCAGCAUUGGUCGUCCAUUGACGCCAAUUGCUCAGGAUGACUCAUGGGCUGAUCUCCCUCAAGAAUCCCCUCGUGAUGAAGAAACACCAAUCACUCCCCCACCACAUGUCACCACUCUGGUGAUUGACAAUGAAGACUUUGAGGCCCAACCAACUCCAUCUCCACAGGCAUCGCCAACAUUUCGUAGGCUUCGCAAAGGACCAAGGCCACAUGUCACAUUGUCAAGUGUUCCAGAAGGAGAAGAGCGCCAAUCCAUUUCACAUGAAGUAUUUCCUGAAGCCUGUCCUACUGCGAACAUCCCUGAAUCUGAAGCCAAAGCGGUUGAAGAUAUUCCGGCUGCAUCAGCCGAUGAAGAAGAAGAACCAUGCAAUGAAGAAAGAGUUGCUACACCCCUGUCAAACCAUGAAGUUGUUCUCGAGGAGAACGUGUCCGACCCUCCAGCUCCUGACAUGGAGGUUACCAAUACUGAGGCGGCCACCAACAUCAACACUAAAGCCAAUGACAUUGUCAUGGCUGAAGCUAAUAUGGCGCCUGAAGCUAAUGUGGUGCCAGAUGUCGCUGCACCUGAAGCUUAUGCUGCACCUGAUGCAAAUCUGCAGCUUGAAGCCAAUGCCUGUGCUCCUGUACCACCUCCCAGGCCACACACCAUCGAGCAAGCAUAUGAUCGUGGUCAGCUUGUUACAGUUCGCUGGCCAAUUCUGGUUCCUCCACCUGCUCCCAGCCCUCAAUUUGCCUAUCAUGUGGAGCACAAGCCUCAGGUCCAGAAGCCAAAGCCAGGGCUACCAUGGUUCCCAGGUACUAUAAUGUCACCAGGAUCGUUUAAUCUGAAUGGAUUCAAGGCACACAACACAUUCUUUGACAGUGACAAGAAUCCCUACACAAGGCCAAGAAUCUCCUCAGAUCGAUUCUGGAGUUAUCAGCAGCGAAGCUAUUAUUCUUGCGUCUUGUACAAUCAGGGGCGCAUCUUCCCACAUAUGUGUCUUGAUUGUGAAGCCAUUGCUGGACUGCCAUGCCUUGAAGAAGACCUUGACUUCUUUCAUGAUGCGGGUCUGCUCAACUUUGUGACUGCCAAGGAACACUAGAAUGAAGAACUUCUGCUUCAAUUCUAUGCUACCCUCCACAUUCGUGGGUACAACAGGGAUCUGAAGACUUGGAUCCUUGAGUGGAUGACGGGCGAUGUCCCUCAUGAAGCUAAAGCCCAAGACAUCAUUGAGCUUACAACCCUGCCCACUCCUGGCGAAUAUUAUGAACCAGGUUGUCAACAACACCAGAAUGAUUUGGAGAGCAUUUUCCAGAAGCCUGAUCCUAACAUGAGCCAAAUGCUGAGCAUGAUGAAGCCUCUGCCACGCGACGUUGAAUACCCAACGGAAUUCUUUGUCGAAGACCUAGAGUAUCUGCCCCGCACCAUUUACCAUAUCAUCAGAAAAACUCUAUUGCCUAUCAAAGGACAUUCAUCUGCAGCGAAGCUUGAAGGAGCAAUGAAGAGUUUGGUUUUCUAUAUCUUCAAUGGAAUCAGCUUCAAUGCUCAAGACUUCUUCAUCAGGCAGUUGGCUGCAUCUAGCUCCGACAUUUUUGGUCUGAAGUUAUAUGCUCCAUGGGUAAUGCGUCUUAUCAAGCUUCACUCAGCCUUCAACUAUCAGCCAUCUGCACGCAAUCAUCUAGUAUUCUUGCUAGAGGUUGAUCUGUUUGUUGAAGCUAUUUACCCAGAGCCUGCAAAGGAUCCAAUUUAUCUUCACAAUGUUGAUAGUCAAAGCUUCACCCAGCCCAUUGAAGGAGUUUAGGCAGUCUCUCGUGUUUAUCCCUUGGCUGGCAACACACGUGCCCCUCGCUCCCAAACUGAAGCCACUAGAAGCACCAUUGCCCAAAAGCCUCGGAAGCGACCUCGUGUUCUCAACGACUGAGAGCUUCUCGUCGCUCUACAUCAGAAACAGGAUAAACAUCAUGACUGGCUGAAGCGUCAGAUGCAAAGCCUCUUGGUGGACGUCAAUCACUUUUGAAAUCUUGCCACCAAGAAUGCCUUUGUUACACAUGAAACCUGUCGGAGGUCCUGGAAGAGUUUGACAUUGCUUAGUGCUGAAGCUGAUCUGCAAGACGGUGGCUUCACAGAAAGAUUCAAGUUUGACUCAACUCAGCCAAGGAAUGCUCACUUGCAUCGAACUCCCUCCCUUGAAGACUCUGACUAUUCUUCCUCAGCUGCGACGGUGAAUGCCAGAGUCAUCGAUGAUCAAGAUGAUGCCACUUCACCACCUCCACCUUCAGCGUGUGUCGACACUGCACCAAGUUCUUCUGCACCACCGGACCUCAAUGACGACCCUGCUGCUUUGCCUACUCCUCAUGGGAAUGAGUAGAAAGCUUCGUGUCUUCAAACCUUUUUGGUCAUUACUGACAAAAGGGGGAGAAGCAUAUGAGUUGAUAGUCUUCAAGCAGGUCCAUAUGGGUGGUUGCUUUACUUCUUGCUACAUUUUCCAAGUGCUUACAACUCUUGCUUUUGAAACAUUUGGUUCGUUUUUGAGUUGUAACACUUAAACUUGUUGGCCGUCUGCUACCUUUUCGACACUAUGUGAUGCGAUGAUAAAUUCCGCAUGUGCGACGAUAAAUUACGCACUAAGUCAUCUUGCAGACGUCCAUUUUUUUUCAUUAUGCAUGUCAUUAUCUUCGAUAUAUCCUUUCAUGCAUGAUGAAUUGUCUUCAUAAUUAGAAGAGGAGCUCCGCAAGUACAACCUACCCUGUGCAUUUGCAUUCAAAGGCAAAAUACUUAUAUGCACAUCUUCAGGGGGAGCCUUCCUGCUACUUACAAAGACAGUACUUAAAUCCUUUACAAUUUCACAUACUUUUAUCCCCGUUGAAAACUUCAACCAGUUUUUCAUCAAUCACCAAAAAGGGGGAGAUUGUAAGUGCAUCUAGUGCCACCCCUAGUUGGUUUUGGAGUAUUGACGACAAACUUGGUUGAGGGACUAAUGUGUUUGUGAGAAUUGCAGGAUAACACAAGUAGUAGUCCCUCAUUGAUUCAGUUUACCUACCAUAGAUGACCCCUAAAAAUGUAUGAAGACAUUGAAGACAAAGGUGGUAUGUGAAGGUAUUCACAUUGAAGACUAUGACAAGAGAAGACAUCGCGUGAAGACUAUGGAGCGCGAAGACUUAUUUGUUUCGUUGUUUCCUUUUCUUCUUUGUUGAGUCAUAGGAACCACCGUACUGUCAAGUGGGGUCCAAGUGAACCAUUCAGAAUGACUGAAGUGAUGCUUAACCAAAAUCCUAUGUCUUCGAGAGAAGACAAUGAGAGCAAAUCUUAUCCAGAGCUGGAUAAGUCAGCUUUGCUUGUAGCUCAAGUAAAGUUGUCGUGUGUGUUUAAAAUCUGACCGUUGGAACACAUGUCAGUUCCUUAGUGACCCAGGGUCAUUUCGGACAAAACAGGUCGGGUUGCCUAGUGGCUGUAAAUAGCCCACCCCCUACACCAUAAAUUGGUCGGCUGCUCAGAGUUAGUGCAUGACUUUUGUCAUUUGAGAGCAACCCACCUGAAAGCCUUUGAGAGAAAUCCUUGCGAGGACAAAGCCCUAAACACCCAGAGCUAAAGAGUGUUAGGCAUCACUGAAGUCUUCCUGUCUGUGUGAUCUAAAGACUUAUUACACUUGAGGACUGUGAAUCCUCCAGCCGGUUAGGCGUCAUGUUCUGAGCAUCCAAGAGUCAUUGUGGAUCGCCGGUGAACGAAGUCUGUGAAGGUUUGGAAGUCUACCUUGAAGACUUACUAGAGUGAUUGGGCAAGGACUGGGUGUCCUUAGCUCAAGGGGAAUAAGUUGAAGACGCGGUCUUCUGAGUUGAAUCUCAGCCUCCCUAACCAGAUGUAAAGUUGUCACAGCAACUGGAACUGGUCCAACAAAUCAUUGUCUUCAACGAGCCACUGGUUCUAUCCUUCCCAUCUCUUUAUUUGCAGUUGGUCCUUGUGAAGUCAUUGCAUGUUUGCAUUAUCUUUUUGUCUUCACUGUGUAACUGCCUGUUCUGAUUGGCUUCAUACUAUCUUCCGCCCUGAUCUAUACUGCCUAGCUGCUAUUAGUCGUUGUGCUUUCACUUCUUUGAAUACUUGACUAUGGCUUGCCUAGUGUAGUCUACCUUCCGCUGCAUGGUAAUAGGUUUGUUUCUAUCGUUUGUCUUCGAAACUUGCAUGCUUUGAAGACUUUCAUAAAAAUCGCCUAUUCACCCCCCCUAGUCGAUCACUAGCACUUUCACUUUUUACAUAGUUUGUUGCUCCUGCAUGGGCCGGCCCAGCGGAGACUAACCUAUGAGCUAUGUCUAUCUGGCGCAGAAUGCGUCAGUUAGGAGGUCCCCCAUUUGAGGGCUCAUUUGGUAACCAUAGUUCCUCCCAUGAUCCCCCUCCUUUCUCAUGGUGGGAUAACCCCGAGUCAAAUCGAGCCACGAGAGCCUACCGCUGCAUUUGGUUUCCAACGAAGGGGAGGGAUCCCGACCCUUUCGCGGCCUUUUCCCGACUGAGAUUUCCAUGCCUCCACUAGUCGGGGAAGGAGCCUCGUCUGUCGCGCUCUCGCAACUAAGAGACGGUUGUCUGUCCCCUCCCCUUCUGUGACGGCGACCGUAAUGGCCCAGUGGACUUCCUCCUCCUUCUCUCGAGCUCCCCUUCACCUAGAAGCUCCUCUCACUGCUCCCACCACAUCAACCAUGAAUCUAAAAGAUGGCAGCCACCAAAGGAUCUGUGCCUAGCAAAGCUUGGAAUCUGUCUACCACCGGCUAUCGGCACGGUCUCGUGGAUCUCGUCAUGUUCGGCGACGAUGCUUCACAUCCCAGACGCAUGUGCUAUUGUUGCCUUGGUGCUCAACAUAUUUUCAGAUUCUCCACAAACAACGACUGAGCGGAGGUGACAAUACAAUGACGAUUGAUGCAGCGACCGUCCCGAAGAUGCUCACUGUAGCGACCCGACCCGAAUGGAUCAUGUCUCUGUGCUUAAGUGUCAUCCCUGGAUCGGUAUGCUGACACACACAGUACUCGACGAUUUAUAACAAAGGUAAAUCACAUGUAUAAGUAACGUAAAUACUAUUACCUCAAUCCAAAUAGCAGAAGUAACAAGGUUGUGGAUUCCCAUCAACACCGACGGCAAAGUUGAGUGUAGAAAUCGUAACCCUAACGUAUCACUUACUCAUCGUAUGAUAUCCUGCAACAUGAGACGUUGCAGCCACAGAGGGUCAGUACAUUGAAUGUACUGGCAAAUUCACACCAUAGAGAUGAUGAAUAAAGGCUAUCACUACAUGCAUAUUUGGCUGGUGGAAAAGCUCUAUGGUUAUAAGGUUUUUGCGAAAAGCCAAUUUUUCCCUACUACAAAGGAAUAAAUUUUAUUUAACUAUCAUGGUGGUUGUUAAACAUUGAGAAUGGUUGACAGCAUUCUCAAUCCCAAUUAAGCAUCAUCAUUAAACAAAACCCAACAAAAUUAAAUUUUAGAGUAACAUGUUGAGAUUCACAUGAUAAUCCAAGUACUAGAUACUCAAGACGUCCAUAACUGGGGACACGGCUAAUCAUGAUUAGUUUAUACACUCUGCAGAGGUUUGCGCACUUUUCCCCACAAGACUCGAUCACCUCCAUUUGGUUUCUCGCACUACAUGGUGUUUGAGAAGACGGAUGACCGAGACAUAGUCUUUCAGAAGCGCUAGCACCUUACGAUGGAUAGACCGUUACACCUACUUUCCCCUACAUCUGCUAGUCUACCCUGUAAGAGUUCGCACGACUUAAUCAACUAUGCUAGAGCCCAUAAUAGCUUGUGGCUACACACGGAAGUUUCUAGUAUGAAAAAUCUCAUGAUCCCUUUGGGCCUGGGUGGCGGUCCAUAAAGAAAUACAGGCAAUCCUAGAAUACUCAGGUACCUCAAUCCACCCAGAUGUGUGUUUAAGUUGCCACCUUAAGUAAACCAUUAAUUAACAAUCUCACAUCUGUCAUGAAUACUCUCAAAACCCAAUCCACGUCUACGAGCAUAGCAUGGCACUAUAAGCAUAACAUAAUAGUAACUCCCAAGGUUUGAAUGUAGGGCAAUAGGUUCCUACCUCAUCAACUACUUCCCAAUACCCGCAAUUUCAUUAGAUCCUAAUCAUGCAAUGUUUGAGGUUUGAUCUAAUGUAAUAAAAACUGGGUAUGAAAGAGGUAUGAUCAAAGUGUGAACUUGCCUGCAAUGUUGAUGAAGAUGAUUCACAGUCAAAAAUCUUGAUAGCUCUACUCGUCACACUCCGGUCAAUCUAUCGUAAUCAAGCAAUAGUAACCACACAUAAGCAAUCACUCAAAAGACCAGAAAGAUCGAAGAACUCGAUUCGGAAAACAUCAAAACCAAGAAAAUAGCUCUUGCAACAUAAAACAAUUUCUAACAGUACCAAAAUUAUGUGAAUUUGGCCUUAUCAGAAAGUUUAGGUCAAGAGCUUCGAUUUGCAAAAAGAAUCAACUCAGACGGAGCUACGAAACUCAAGUUAUGAUCAAAUGAAGUUUGAAUUCAAAUCUGAUCUAAUUCAAAUUUUAAACUUUUCAAAAACAUGUUUGAGUUGGAUUACUGUAUAGAGGAGAUUAUAGCGAAGACGUGGGCGUUGGUUUCGUUGGAUUUGGACAACCGAGUAAAAAGUAGUGAUCGUUUGAAAUAGAGGGACUAAUCUGUAAAUAAAAUCAUCAUAGAUAGGUCCCUGGCCGAAAUUAAAAUAAAAGAAAAAGCCUAUCGACUGAACGUUCACUAUGAAAACCUAAUGAACGGAUUCGUUCGUUGCGGAGAGAUAAACAGCGAACGUUUGCCAAACAAACUCAACCAAAAAUAUUAAACCGAUCUAAACCGAGAUUAAAAACAAAAGAACCGGGACGGGUUUUCGGCGGUUUAUACUGGUCGGGGCGGUUUUCUUCGAAAAACCGCCGGUGGCGGUUUAUGGCGGCAGCGGCAGUUCAGCGACGGCGGCGCACGGGCAGGGCAAGGCGCGGGGAGCGGCGGCGCGAGCUAGGCGGUGCGGCAACAGCGAGCGGUGGCUAUGGCGGCGCGGGCGGCGGGGUGGUGCGGCAGGCGGCGCGGUAGCNNNNNNNNNNNNNNNNNNNNNNNNNNNNNNNNNNNNNNNNNNNNNNNNNNNNNNNNNNNNNNNNNNNNNNNNNNNNNNNNNNNNNNNNNNNNNNNNNNNNNNNNNNNNNNNNNNNNNNNNNNNNNNNNNNNNNNNNNNNNNNNNNNNNNNNNNNNNNNNNNNNNNNNNNNNNNNNNNNNNNNNNNNNNNNNNNNNNNNNNNNNNNNNNNNNNNNNNNNNNNNNNNNNNNNNNNNNNNNNNNNNNNNNNNNNNNNNNNNNNNNNNNNNNNNNNNNNNNNNNNNNNNNNNNNNNNNNNNNNNNNNNNNNNNNNNNNNNNNNNNNNNNNNNNNNNNNNNNNNNNNNNNNNNNNNNNNNNNNNNNNNNNNNNNNNNNNNNNNNNNNNNNNNNNNNNNNNNNNNNNNNNNNNNNNNNNNNNNNNNNNNNNNNNNNNNNNNNNNNNNNNNNNNNNNNNNNNNNNNNNNNNNNNNNNNNNNNNNAUCUCGGCGGUGGCGGCGGCGCGAAGCAAGAGGAGGCAGGGAGCGGCGCGGCGAGGGAGAGAGAGGGGCCUGGGCCCGCGCUAUUUAAGGGGGAGGGGAGGAGGUGGCGUGGAGGAGGGGUCAAGCGAGGAGGACGCGGAGUCCGGCCGGACUCCGGCGGCGGCGCUCCCGUGCGGGAGUCGGUCUCCCGUGGGAGAUCGGGGAUGGGGCGAUGGCGAGCUGGGCUGGGCCGCGGCCUGGCAGGAGCUAGGCCGGCCAAUCGGGGGAAUUUUUUUUAAAGAAUUUUUUUUCCAGACAAACAAAACAAAUAAAAACAAACAGAAAUAAAAAUAUUAUAUAGGCAUAUACUAUAUCAAAAUUUUCAGAAAAAGAUUUUGUACGACAUGAACAUUUUUAAUAUGCCAAAUAAAAUCCUCACAAAAUCAGAUAAAUCAAAGAGUUCUACUGGUCUAUUAAAAUCCAGCAAAAUCAUUUUAAAAAAAAUACCAAAAUGAUUUCAAAUUAAUUUUUCUCCAAUUUUCUAAUGUAGGGAAUCAUGUUACCCUAUUUUCCAUAUAUUUUAUUUUUGGAGAAGAACAAUUUGAAUAAAACUCAAACAAUUCCAAAUUGAAAAUAAUUUCAAAAGGACUUUGAAUUUUGAUCCUUGAAACUCCCAACUCAUAUUUCAUAAUUUGAAGAAGUCAUUUUAUCUCCUCUCGUGAAAAUCAUUGAGUUGCUUAAAGUUUCUAAAUUGGAAAUAUUUUCCAAAUGAAAUUCAAAUAUUUUCAACACCCCUUGUCAUUUAAAUAAUGGAAGAAGUCAUGUCAUCUUCUCUCUAGGGUUUUGUAUUUGAAAAGAAUUUGAAUUCACGGUGAUCAAAAGAAAAAGGUGAAAGUUUGGGAAAGUCCUUUUAUUCCCUCUCAUUUAACUUUCAAAAGUUUCGAAUUUCACUCAAUCAAUCUCACAACAAUCAAAUAAUCAAUCUAUCUAUCUAUUUAUUAUAACAUUCCAAAAUCUAGAAUUUUGGGGUGUUACAAACCUACCACCCUUAAAAUGAAUCUCGUCCUCGAGAUUCGGAGAGGCUAGAAAGAAAUAGGUUAGGUCCGGGGUCUCUUCAAAAUUUCAUCAAUCGUCUCCAGGGUCUGGGGUGCUACUACCCUUAGAAACAUCAUUACGGUCCCAUCAAUACUCAUAUACUCCAUCCUUAUUCUUGACAGGGCCGGUCUUCUCAGAUCGUAAGGAUAAUUCCUUCUCUGGCUCUUCCGGCAGCGACAUAACCUUUUCCUCAAUUCCUCUAUACUUUCAUCCUGGUAAGGUUAUUCCGAGACUGGGUCUUCUUAGCUGACGGGUCUGGCGCCAAUACUAAUCAACUAUCGAUAUCUCAUGGUGGUCAACAAUUUAUGGUUUCUCCUGCAGGAAAUGGGUCUGGGUUGAUCCUCACCGUAUAACCUACGGUUGGCAAAGCUGCCUUGUACAAGGGAAAAUACUUAUACCAUUCUGGGGUUUAAACAAGGUUUGAUCGUCGUCUCUCUACUAUAGGUAAGUCACUCAGAUUUACCAUCCCAUAUAGCAAGGCGAACAAUAAGAGUAAGUCGGUAUGGUGAUCAAUCCAUCCCGCACCCAAAUCAUUACCAUGUAUACAGUUUAGCAAAUCUCGCAUACUAACACUCGGUCAUCCUCACAAGCAUUGUAGAAUUUCUCUUGUCGAUGAACGAAGUUUGGAUAUAUCCACAGAUUCUGCAAGCCAGACAAACAUCUAUCGUUUCUUCACAACUCUCAGGUUUUGCGUUACUCCUAUAAAAUUGUCUGCCGAUAAACGUCGUAUCUUCCUCGAGGGUUCUUCCUUCAGCAAGGAUGUGCUUGCUUCUUGGCAGGUCCUGGGCAUGUGGGUUACGGCCCAUCUCAUCACUUGUAGUCCUUGAACUUAUCAUCGGGCAACUGAUCAUUAUUCCAACUUCCAACUUCCUAGUAUUCUUAAAUCCAUCCAAUUGUACUGUCUUCCUUCCUUCUAUUGGCACCAAACUAGGACAUGAUUACUCAGACUCAUCAUGGAGUUUCCCUUGAUACAUAUUUCCAACAUCAUACCUCCUUUAUAUCCAAUAGUAAUUUAUCUCUUCAUCCUCGUUGGAUAUCCCUCAUACCGAGAUAAAAACUUAUACUUGUGGAGUCCAUAUUCCACUUCAUGGAACAUCAUUAUCCUUUCCAGGGUCAAGCGUCCUUAUAGGGGAAUAUUGGCCAUCUCUGCAUGGCACUUCUUCAACUGGGAAACGUGAAACACAUCAUGAACUCCCGAUAGUCCUUCGGAUGACUCCAACUUGUUGGCCACUUCUCCCAUACACUCCAAAACUUGGUAUGGUCCUAUAAAUCUCGGGGCAAACUUUCCCUUAACUCCAAAUCGUUUAACUCCUCACAGAGGGGGCACACGAAGACAUGCUCUGUCUCCAAUUUCAUAGACUACCUCCUUGCAUUUUUAAGUUUGCAUCUCUCUUCUGCCUGGACUGAGCUACCUUCAGUCUAUCUCGAAUCAACUUAACAUUCUCUUCUGACUCCUUGAUCACAUUUGGUCCAAACAACUGAUGGUCUCCAACUUCAUCCCACACACUCUUGGGGUAUCACACAUAUCGAGACAAAACUCGUAUUCAUUUUGUCCGAAAUCCACUCAGUGGAGUAUCCUUAUCUUUUCCAGGGGUCAAGGGUUCUUACACGGUACUACCACCCUUAAAAUGCAAAAAUCUUCCAUAGACCAUAUUUCUCUUAUCCUCAAAAAUGGUCAAAAUCCUUCUUCAUAGAGUAACAACUCAUAAAAUCCCUAUUAGUACCAACGAUGCUAACUUUAUUUAUUCUCUAAUGAUUACAAUCUCUCGCUCUUCCAUUACAUGUCUCAACUCAAUCACCUUGAUACAAAAGAGUUGUUCUCCCUUCUACUACUAUACUUCUCACAGACUCAACUAUUUAUCACAAGUCUCCUUUCCUUGGGGCAUUCUCUGGCAAAGUGCCCUGCUCCAUUACAACUAAAACAUAUUACUUCUGACAAGCAUCGAGGUUUCCUUUUUGGGCAACUGUUGAGGUAGUUCCCUGACUCCUUGCACCUAUAACAGGUGAUAUGACUCAGGUCCUUCCUGGAAUCCAAUCUGCUUCUCUUCCUGGACCUUUCCAUGCCAAUCAUGGCUUCUAUUUCCUGUGGGUCAUAUUCUACUUCCUCUGUCAGGAAUUCUACUAGAUCCCCAUUCAAACAAUUUUGGGAGAUGUAUCCUUCUUCUCCACAUGAAUAGCAACACUUAGUGAAGGGUUUACUCGGGUCUUCUUUAGGUGUGUCCUCCAUCUCUUCCUUCAUCACGGGUUCUUCUAAAAUUUCCAUAAGGGCUCCUUUCAUUACUUCUUUCUUCUGCUGGAUGGUUCGUUGUACCAUGGGGUAAAUGUGACCCUGAGCAGGAUAGUGGGUAGUCCCUUCACACAAGAAACAAGUAAUCUGCCUAAUUGGGCAUUCUUCAACUGGGUGACUUCCUUCACAAUUAGGGCAUUCAUCCUUAUGUUCUUUACGGGUGUGUCCUAUUUCUCCACAAAUCUUGCAUGCACAAGGUUUCUUCAUAUCCUUUCCAUAAGGCUUCAACUUCUGGGACACAAGCCGAGACUUUGGCGGAGUCAACUUAAAUUCUUUCCAUGUGGUUACUCCUUGCCAUCCAUUGAUGGUUUGGUACAUCCUCCACCAAGUAGCAACACCUCUUUCAAAGCACUGAAGAGCAUGCUGGGUCAUAUCCUUUCCGACUAUAGGGUUGUUCUCCAUGUGAUCCUCCAUGUUCUGAAUCCAUCGGUCUGUCUCCAACUGACUCAUAGGUCCAGUAAAUACAAGCUCAUCUCCAUUCAUUCUCUAUUGGGUCCAUGUGGGUUUGGGGUAAGAUAAGAGAGAGGGAGAUGGAUACACACAAUACAAACAAAAGUUUUGAAAAGACAGAUUUUAUUUGUGUCCAUCGGGAAAACAUCAAACAAAUGAUAGCUCACAAAUGUCGCAUCUAACGUAGGUAUAUAACAGGGGUUUGGUCUUCUAAAGGUCAAUAAAUCUUCAACUCUCCAAACUCUUCAAGCCUUGUUCAUGCCUCCAAUGGUUUCUUCCGAUCAUGCUUGUCUUUCUCAAGUUCUUUUGCCAGAUCAACUCUGUUGACGCGAAGUCUCUCGUGACGUCCUUUAAUAUUCUGGAGUUGCAUUCCAAACUUCUGGGUUUCAUCAAACUCGACCUGAACCAUGAUCCUGCUGUCCUUCAGUUCUUAACGAAUCUCCGGUAUCUCGAGGUUGUAGCUCCUCCAGCUUGGCUACUUUCAGCUUUUGAUUCCUGAGUUCUUCACGAAAUGCUUCCUUUCAAAUAUGACUUCUUGUGGCUCCAUCUUAACUUCUUGAUGUAAUACUCCAGAUCCUGGUGAUACACCGGCUAAGGUUAAAACUUCAUAUUGCUGAUGGGUGCUCCAUCAGCCUUCUACCAUCCAAUCCUUCCAUGCAUAUACAUGCUUAACUCAGCACGGUGGCAAUAGCAUAAGCGGGAGAUCACUUCAUGGAUAGCUGUGUUUCUGCUCUUUUCAUUUCCAUGAGCUAUCAUUCCAUAGUUGAUAUCUCCUGCCUUAGGGUUUUCUUGACAAAUCCUUGAGUUCUUAACUCUACAUGCUCCGGUCUUUUUCCGAUACACCUUGAUCUCGGGUAUUGACAACUUCCAUAGUCUGCCAAGUUCCAUAAGGGUAGCCUUCCUAGGUCAUACAAAUCUAGGAAUUCUUCAGAGCCUUCAAAUUCUACUUGUCCUCGGUCUUCAACCGUUGUAGUUUCCAUUAUUCAGAUGCACGAAAAAUACUCUUCAUUCCGAAGUGGUCUUAGUUGUCCGAUAUCUUGUACUUCUUGGAGUGGUCUCAUGAGUCGAAUUGUCGUGUGGUCAAAAGGGGAAAGGGGUAUGGUAUCACUAAAGGGAAUUUUUGAAUAAGCCCAGAAGAGAAGAGAGGUAAAAGGUCAUUUUUGAAAGGGAAAGUUGUAGAGAAAAAUCUUUGCUAUGGCCUUGCCAGUUUCUAGGGUCACGUCCUACAAUCAACAUGUGCUCUGAUACCAUAUUGUAGCGACCCGACCCGAAUGGAUCAAGUCUCUGUGCUUAAGUGUCAUCCCUGGAUCGGUAUGCUGACACACACAAUACUCGAGGAUUUAUAACAGAGGUAAAUCACAUGUAUAAGUAACGUAAAUACUAUUACCUCAAUCCAAAUAGAGGAAGUAACAAGGUUGUGGAUUCCCAUCAACACCGACGGCAAAGUUGAGUGUAGAAAUUGUAACCCUAACAUAUCACUUACUCGUCGUAAGAUAUCCUGCAACAUGAGACAUUGCAGCCACAGAGGGUCAGUACAUUGAAUGUACUGGAAAAAUUCACACCAUAAAGAAUGAUGAAUAAAGGCUAUCACUACAUGCAUAUUUGGCUGGUGGAAAAGCUCCAUGGUUAUAAGGUUUUUGCGAAAAGCCAAUUUUUCCCUACUACAAAGGAAUAAAUUUUAUUUAACUAUCAUGGUGGUUGUUAAACAUUGAGAAUGGUUGACAACAUUCUCAAUCCCAAUUAAGCAUCAUCAUUAAACAAAACCCAACAAAAUUAAAUUUUAGAGUAACAUGUUGAGAUUCACAUGAUAAUCCAGGUACUAGAUACUCAAGACAUUCAUAACCGGGGACACGGCUAAUCAUGAUUAGUUUAUACACUCUGCAGAGGUUUGCGCACUUUUCCCCACAAGAAUCGAUCGCCUCCGUUUGGUUUCUCGCACUACAUGGUGUUUGAGAAGACGGAUGACCGAGACAUACUCUUUCAGAAGCUUUAGCACCUUACGAUGGAUAGACCGUUACACCUACUUUCCCCUACAUCUGCUAGUCUACCCUGUAAGAGUUCGCACGACUUAAUCAACUAUGCUAGAGCCCAUAAUAGCUUGUGGCUACACACGGAAGUUUCUAGUAUGAAAAACCUCAUGAUCCCUUUGGACCUGGGUGGCGGUCCAUAAAGAAAAACAGGCAAUCCUGGAAUACCCAGUUACCUCAAUCCACCCAGAUGUGUGUUUAAGUUGCCACCUUAAGUAAACCAUUAAUUAACAAUCUCACAUUUGUCAUGAAUACUCUCAAAACCCAAUCCACGUCUACGAGCAUAGCAUGACACUAUAAGCAUAACCUAAUAGUAACUCCCAAGGUUUGAAUGCAGGGCAAUAGGUUCCUACCUCAUCAACUACUUCCCAAUACCCACAAUUUCAUUAGAUCCUAAUCAUGCAAUGUUUGAGGUUUGAUCUAAUGCAAUAAAAACUGGGUAUGAAAGAGGUAUGAUCAAAGUGUGAACUUGCCUGCAAUGUUGAUGAAGAUGAUUCACACUCAAAAAUCUUGAUAGCUCUACUCGUCACACUCCGAUCAAUCUAUCGUAAUCAAGCAAUAGUAACCACACAUAAGCAAUCACUCAAAAGACCAGAAAGAUCGAAGAAGUCGAUUCGGAAAACAUCAAAACCAAGCAAAUAGCUCUUGCAACAUAAAACAAUUUCUAUCAGUACCAAAAUUAUGUGAAUUUGGCCUUAUCAGAAAGUUUAGGUCAAGAGCUUCGAUUUGCAAAAAGAAUCAACUCAAACGGAGCUACGAAACCCAAGUUAUGAUCAAACGAAGUUUGAAUUCAAAUCUGAUCUAAUUCAUAUUUUAAACUUUUCAAAAACAUGUUUGAGUUGGAUUACUAGAUAGAGGAGAUUAUAACGAAGACGUGGGCGUUGGUUUCGUUGGAUUUGGACAACCGAGUAAAAAGUAGUGAUCGUUUGAAACAGAGGGACUAUUCUGUAAAUAAAAUCAUCACAGAUAGGUCCCUGGCCGAAAUUAAAAUAAAAGAAAAGGCCUAUCGAAUGAAUGUUCACUAUGAAAACCUAAUGAACGGAUUCGUUCAUUGCGGAGAGAUAAACAGCGAACGUUUGCUAAACAAACUCAACCAAAAAAAUUAAACCGGUCUAAACCGAGAUUAAAAACAAAAGAAUCGGGAUGGGUUUUCGGCGGUUUAUACCAGUCGGGGCGGUUUUCUUUGAAAAACCGCCGGUGGCGGUUUCUGGCGGCAGCGACAGUUCGGCGACGGCGGCACGCGGGCAGGGCGAGGCGCGGGGAGCGGCGGCGCGAGCUAGGCGGUGCGGCAACGGNNNNNNNNNNNNNNNNNNNNNNNNNNNNNNNNNNNNNNNNNNNNNNNNNNNNNNNNNNNNNNNNNNNNNNNNNNNNNNNNNNNNNNNNNNNNNNNNNNNNNNNNNNNNNNNNNNNNNNNNNNNNNNNNNNNNNNNNNNNNNNNNNNNNNNNNNNNNNNNNNNNNNNNNNNNNNNNNNNNNNNNNNNNNNNNNNNNNNNNNNNNNNNNNNNNNNNNNNNNNNNNNNNNNNNNNNNNNNNNNNNNNNNNNNNNNNNNNNNNNNNNNNNNNNNNNNNNNNNNNNNNNNNNNNNNNNNNNNNNNNNNNNNNNNNNNNNNNNNNNNNNNNNNNNNNNNNNNNNNNNNNNNNNNNNNNNNNNNNNNNNNNNNNNNNNNNNNNNNNNNNNNNNNNNNNNNNNNNNNNNNNNNNNNNNNNNNNNNNNNNNNNNNNNNNNNNGCGCGGGCGGCGGGGUGGUGCGGCAGGCGGCGCGGCAGUGCGAAGUGUGGCGGCGGCUGCCGAUCUCGGCGGUGGAGGCGGCGCGAAGCGAGAGGAGGCGGGGAGCGGCGAGGCGAGGGAGAGAGAGGGGCCUGGGCCCGCGCUAUUUAAGGGGGAGGGGAGGAGGUGGCGUGGAGGAGGGGUCAAGCAAGGAGGACGCAGAGUCCGGCUGGACUCCGGCGGCGGCGCUCCCGUGCGGGAGUCGGUCUCCCGCGGGAGAUCGGGGACGGGGCGACGGCGAGCUGGGCUGGGCCGUGGCCUGGCAGGAGCUGGGCCGGCCCAGUCGGGGGAAUUUUUUAUUUAAAGAAUUUUUUUUCUAGACAAACAAAACAAAUAAAAACAAACAGAAAUAAAAAUAUUAUAUAGGCAUAUACUAUAACAAAAUUUUCAGAAAAAGAUUUUCUACGACAUGAACAUUUUUAAUAUGCCAAAUAAAAUCCUCACAAAAUCAGAUAAAUCAAAGAGUUCUACUGGUCUAUUAAAAUCCAGCAAAAUCAUUUUAAAAAAAUACCAAAAUGAUUUCAAAUUAUUUUUUCUCCAAUUUUCUAAUGUAGGGAAUCAUGUUACCCUAUUUUCGAUAUAUUUUAUUUUGGAGAAGAACAAUUUGAAUAAAACUCAAACAAUUCCAAAUUGAAAAUAAUUUCAAAAGGACUUUGAAUUUUGAUCCUUGAAACUCCCAAACAUAUUUCAUAAUUUGAAGAAGUCAUAUUAUCUCCUCUCGUGAAAACCAUUGAGUUGCUUAAAGUUUCUGAAUUGGAAAUAUUUUCCAGAUGAAAUUCAAAUAUUUUCAACACCCCCUGUCAUUUAAAUAAUGGAAGAAGUCAUGUCAUCUUCUCUCUAGGGUUUUGUAUUUGAAAAUAAUUUGAAUUCACGGUGAUCAAAAGAAAAAGGUGAAAGUUUGGGAAAGUCCUUUUAUUCCCUCUCAUUUAACUUCCAAAGUUUCGAAUUUCACUCAAUCAAUCUCACAACAAUCAAACAAUCAAUCAAUCUAUCUAUUUAUUAUAACAUUCCAAAAUUUAGAAUUUUGGGAUGUUACACUCACCUAAAGUAGUUGCGCCAUGGCCUGUGGAACUGAGUGCCUUUCUAUUGGGGUUUUUUUGUUUCCUGGUUUGUCUUUUCCCUGUUAUCCCUGUAAGCCAAAGGGUGAUGUAGAUUUUCCACGGGAUUUAAGUUUGCACAAGAAAAUUUCACCCAACACUACUGCAGGAUGUUGCUAACGUGACACUACAAUCAGAGACCCUUCGACGAAACUGUGUUUGAUGCAUGAAUCACAAACGGUGAUGUAAUAAAACCGUCAAAAAUGAUACGAAACAUUUGCGAUGUUGGAGACAUCAAACAUGAUUUAGAUUAUAGUUGCGUGUGCUAUGUGUGGCAUACAGUUCACUCCAAUGAACUGUUUACAGUGAGCAUAACAACAGAAACUAUUAGCCAGAUGAAGGUGUGUGCGAUAUACAUCAUACAAUUCACUCGGAUGAACUAUUUGUGAUUAGGCAACACAACUGAAACGGUCAGCCGGAUCAAGGUGUGUGCAAUAGAGGGCAUACAGUUCAGUUCGAUGAACUAUUUGUGUUGAGCGAAGAGAACAUAAACGGUUCGACUUAACAAGAUAUGUGUGAUACACGGCAAACAGGUCCGUAAUCAGAAAUGUGUGCGAAGACCGAUAAUAACACAGAUGGUUGAUGAUAAUAAGUUGUGUGUGUUGUGGGCAAAUGCUUGCUGGUAUACAAUUGUUAGCGAUUGAUGAAUUCAUCAUCGACAGUUUCCCUAGUAUGGUCUGUGUGCGAUGUGAUUGCAUACAGAACAACAACAUAUGUACUUAUAAGGAUAUGAUUGCACAACCAAAUUAAACACCCAAUCACAUAGGUGGCUAGUACACACAUGACAUUUGCACACACCAAAGUAAACUAGUACAUACAUAAUUAACCAGGAUAAACGAUCAUCUGAUCAUCAUCUACUUCUUCUUGUGACGUUUGUCACCACUGCUCCGCUGGUGGCUUGACCCCUCAUCGGUUAAGGGAAGGAGGCACUCCCUCAUGUCAACGAUCCGCAUGUGCAUCUCGUAGCAUGCGUACACAUUCUUGGCAGCAAACUUGAGGUGAGCUUCAUCCAAUUUCAGCGUCCAGGCCCUGUUCCAGGAUACGGGAUUUUUCCCUUGUCAUCCUCCUUCAUCUUUUCGUAGUAGGGGUCGAUGAUGGCCGAGGCGAGUUCAGCCAGGGUGUCCUUCUUUGUGCUGCCCCAAAACAUGUAGUGGCCACGGAUUUCGACAAGGUUCUUGCAGGCCAAGCCCGUAACCUUGAGCGCUUUUACAUUGUUGGUGGUUUCCACCAUAGCAAACUUGUAGUUGGUGCUGUUGGCAAACCUGGCGAAGCGGUCGCAAGGCUUUGUGGACAUGCAAUAUUGGUAGAUGAGGACAUGAUGGAGCACGCACAAUUGGGCGAUGACAACCUUCUGAUCUAUACUGGGAUGACCAUCGGUGUACUGGAGGUCGAUGCCGACCACUUUGUACUUGUCCCGAGCAAGCAAGUGCUCCACGGUGUUGAUGUAGUCCUCCACUGAUACGUCUCCAACGUAUCCCUAAUUUUUGAUUGCUCCAUGCUAUAUUAUCUACUGUUUUAGACGUUAUUGGGCUUUAUUAUCCACUUUUAUAUUAUUUUGGGACUAACCUAUUAACCGGAGGCCCAGCCAAGAAUUGUUGUUUUUUGCCUGUUUUAGGGUUUCAAAGAAAAGGAAUAUCAAACGGAGUCCAAACGGAAUGAAACCUUAGGAAACGUGAUUUUCUCAUCAGAUAAGAUCCGGGAGACCUGGACCCUCUGUCAAGAAAGCCACGAGGUGGUCACGAGGGUAGGGGGUGCCCCCUAGGGCGCGCCCCCUGCCUUGUGGGCCCCUCGAAGCUCCACCGACGUACUUCUUCCUCCUAUAUAUAUCCACGUACCCCCAAAUGAUCGGGGACAGAGCCAAAAACCUACUUCCACCGCCGCAACUUUCUGUAUCCACGAGAUCCCAUCUUGGGGCCUGUUCCGAAGCUCCGCUAGAGGAGGCAUCGAUCACGGAGGGCUUCUACAUCAUCAUCCAAGCCCCUCCGAUGAAGUGUGAGUAGUUUACUUCAAACCUACGGGUCCAUAGCUAGUAGCUAGAUGGCUUCUUCUCUCUUUUUGGAUCUCAAUACAAUGUUCUCCCCCUCUCUCGUGGAGAUCUAUUCGAUGUAAUCUUCUUUUUGCGGUUAGUUGUUGAGACCGAUGAAUUGUGGGUUUAUGAUCAAGUUUAUCUAUGAAUAAUAUUUGAAUCUUCUUUGAAUUCUUUUAUGUAUGAUUGGUUAUCUUUGCAAGUCUCUUCUAAUUAUUAGUUUGGUUUGUCCUACUAGAUUGGUUGUUCUUCCCAUGGGAGAAGUGCUUAGCUUUGGGUUUGAUCUUGCGGUGUCCUUUCCCAGUGACAGAAGGGGCAUCAAGGCACGUAUUAUAUCGUUGCCAUCGAGGAUAACAAGAUGGAGCUUUUAUCAUAUUGAAUGAAACUAUCCCUCUACAUCAUGUAAUCUUGCUUAAGGCAUUACUCUGUUUUUAACUUAAUACUCUAGAUGCAUGCUGGAUAGCGGUCGAUGAGUGGAGUAAUAGUAGUAGAUGCAGAAUCGUUUCGGUCUACUUAUCUCAGACGUGAUGCCUAUAUACAUGAUCUUACCUAGAUAUUCUCAUAACUAUGCUCAAUUCUGUCAAUUGCUCAAUAGUAAUUUGUUCACCCACCGUAGAAUACUUAUGCUCUUGAGAGAAGCCACUAGUGAAACCUAUGGCCCUGGGUCUCUUUCUCAUCAUAUCAAUCUCCAUCACUUUAUUAUUGCUUUGCUUUUACUUUGCUUUUACUUUAUUUACUUUGGAUCUCUAUACCAAAAAUACCAAAAAAUAUUAUUUAUCAUCUCUAUCAGAUCUCACAUUCGUAAGUGACCGUGAAGGGAUUGUCAACCCCUAAGCGCGUUGGUUGCGUUGAGCUAUUGUUUUUGUGUAGGUACGAGGGACUCGGGCAUAGCCUCCUACUAGAUUGAUACCUUGGUUCUCAAAAACUGAGGGAAAUACUUACGCUACUUUGCUGCAUCAUCCCUUCCUCUUCGGGGAAAUCCAACGCAGUGCUCAAGAGGUAGCAAGAAGAAUUUCUGGCACCGUUGUCGGGGAGUCUACGCAAAAGUCAACAUACCAAGUACCCAUCACAAUCCCUAUCUCCCGCAUUACAUUAUUUGCCAUUUGCCUCUCGUUUUCCUCUCCCCCACUUCACCCUUGCCUUUUUAUUCGCCCUCUCUCUAUAUCCUCCCUCUCUAUUUGCCUCUUUUGCCCAUUUGCUCUUUGUUUGCUCAUGUGUUGGAUUUCUUGUUUGUCGUGAUGGCUCUACCUAGAUUUGGUGAUCUUCACCUAAAAAGGUUAGAGGAGAUCGAAAACAACGUCAGGAAGUUUAUGGUUUUGCAAUUUGAGCAUAAUAUUUCUUUAGAAAUGAGCUUAAGGAACAAAAAGGUUUCAUGAAUUAUAUGAAUAAAGAGCUCGAUGAUAUGUCUAAAGAAUUUGAUGGUAUAAGAUCCCAAAUUGCCCAUCUUGAAAAAUUAACUGCUGAAAUUUCGGAUAUGCAAGCUACCUUAGUCAAUAAGAUGGCUGCUAAACCGGAUUCCUAAGAAAAUAAUGAUGAAGAUCUAAAAGUUAUUGAUGUGUCCCCUAUUAAAUCUUCGUUUUGCAAUAUGAAUCUUGAUAAUGAUGGGACUGAAUAUGAUCCACCUUUACCUAGAAGGCGUUUUAAGAAUUCGGAAUUUGUUGAUCUUGAUGCUAAAUUUGAUAAAAGUGGGAUUGAAGAAAUUAAAACCCUAGAUGUUGCUAAACCCACUAUUAUGGAUUUCAAGGAAUUUAACUAUGAAAAUUUCUCUUUGAUUGAUUGUAUUUCCUUGUUGCAAUCCGUGCUAAAAUCUCCUCACGCUUAUAGUCAAAAUAAAGCGUUUACUAAACAUAUCGUUGAUGCCUUGAUGCAAUCUUAUGAAGAAAAACUUGCAUUGGAAGUUCCUAUCCCUAGAAAACUUUAUGAUGAGUGGGAACCAACUAUUAAAAUUAAAAUUAAAAAUUAUGAGUUUUAUGCUUUGUGUGAUUUGGGUGCUAGUGUCUCUACUAUUCCCAAAACUUUGUGUGAUUUACUAGAUUUUCGUGAUUUUGAUGAUUGCUCUCUAAAUUUGCAUCUUGCGGAUUCCACUAUUAAGAAACCUAUGGGAAGAAUUAAUGAUGUUCUUAUUGUUUCUAAUAGGAAUUAUGUGCCCGUAGAUUUUAUCGUUCUUGAUAUAGAUCGCAAUCCUUCUUGCCCUAUUAUUCUCGGUAGACCUUUCCUUAGAACGGUUGGUGCAAUUGUUGAUAUGAAGGAAGGGAAUAUUAGAUUUCAAUUUUCAUUAAAGAAGGGCAUGGAACACUUACCUAGAAAGAAAAUAAAAUUACCAUAUGAAUCUAUCAUGAGAGCCACUUAUGGAUUGCCUACCAAAGAUGGCAAUACCUAGAUCUAUUCUUACUUGUUAUGCCUAGCUAGGGGCGUUAAACGAUAGCGCUUGUUGGGAGGCAACCCAAUUUUAUUUUUAUUCCUUGAUUUUUGCUCCUGUUUAGUAAUAAAUAAAUUAUCUAGCCUCUGUUUUGGUUGUGUUUUUUGUGUUUAAUUAGUGUUUGUGCCAAGUAGAACCGUUGGGAAGACUUGGGGAAAGUCUUGUUGAACUUGCUGUAAAAAACAGAAACUUUAGCGCUCACAAGAACUGCUGUUAUUUUUAUUUGGAAAGUGAUAUUUAGUUAAUUCUUUUUGCAGAUUAUUAAUAGAUAAAUUCCUCACGUCCAUCAGUUUAUUUUAUAAUUUUUAGUGUUCCAGAUCUUGCGCUAGCUACAGAUUACUACAGACUGUUCUGUUUUUUGACAAAUUCUGUUUUUCGUGUGUUGUUUGCUUAUUUUGAUGAAUCUAUGGCUAGUAAAAUAGUUUAUAAUCCAUAGAGAAGUUGGAAUACAGUAGGUUUAACACCCAUAUAAAUAAAGAAUGAGUUCAUUACAGUACCUUGAAGUGGUCUUUUGUUUCCUUUCGCUAACGGAGCUCACGAGUUUUCUAGUUUAAGUUUUGUGUUGUGAAGUUUUCAAGUUUUGGGUAAAGAUUUGAUGGAUUAUGGAACAAGGAGUGGCAAUAGGCUAAGCUUGGGGAUGCCCAUGGAACCCCCAAGAUAAUCUAAGGACACCUAAAUUCCAAAGCUUGGGGAUGCCCCGGAAGGCAUCCCCUCUUUCGUCUACUUCUAUUGGUAACUUUACUUGGAGCUAUAUUUUUAUUCAGCACAUGAUAUGUGUUUUUCUUGGAGCGUCUUUUAUGAUUUGAGUCUUUGCUUAUUAGUUUACCACAAUCAACCUUUCUGUACACACCUUUUGAGAGAGCCAUACAUGAUUUGGAAUUUGAUAGAAUACUCUAUGUACUUCACUUAUAUCUUUUGAGUUAUAUAAUUUUGCUCUAGUGCUUCACCUAUAUCUUUUAGAGCAUGGUGGUGGAUUUGUUUUAUAGAAACUAUUGAUAUCUCAUGCUUCACUUAGAUUAUUUUGAGAGUCUUAAUAGAAUUGUAAUUUGCUUAAAAUCCUAAUAUGUUUGGUAUGCAAGAUUAAUAAUAGAACUUUCGUAUGAGUGUGUUGAAUAGUAAGAAGAAAUUGAUGCUUGAUAAUUGUUUUGAGAUAUGAGGAUGGCGAUAUUAGAGUCAUGCUAGUUGAGCAGUUGUGAAUUUGAGAAAUGCUUGUGUUAAAGUUUGUGAUUCCCGUAGCAUGCACGUAUGGUGAACCGUUAUGUGAUGAAGUCGGAGCAUGAUUUAUUUAUUGAUUUUCUUCCUUAUGAGUGGCGGUCGGGGACGAGCGAUGGUCAUUUCCUACCAAUCUAUCCCCCUAGGAGCAUGCGCGUAAUACUUUGCUUUGAUAACUUCUAGAUUUUUGCAAUAAGUAUAUGAGUUCUUUAUGACUAAUGUUGAAUCCAUGGAUUAUACGCACUUUCCUUCCUUUCACCAUUGCUAGCCUCUCUAAUACCGCGCACUUUUCGCCGGUAUCAUACACCCACCAAAUACCUUCCUCAAAACAGCCAUCAUACCUACCUAUCAUGGCAUUUACAUAGCCAUUCCGAGAUAUAUUUCCAUGCAACUUUCCACCGUUCCUUUCAUUAUGACACUCCCCAUCAUUGUCAUAUUACUAGCAUGAUCAUGUAGUUGACAUCGUAUUUGUGGCAAAGCCACCAUUCAUAUUUCUUUCAUACAUGUCACUCUUGAUUCAUUGCAUAUCCCGGUACACCACUGGAGGCAUUCAUAUAGAGUAAUAUUUUGUUCUAAGAAUCGAGUUGUAAGUAAAUAAAAGUGUGAUGAUCAUCAUUAUUAGAGAAUUGACCCGAUGAGGAAAGGAUGAUGGAGACUAUGCUUCCCCCACAAGUCGGGAUGAGACUCCGGACGAAAAAUAAAUAAAUAAAGAGGCCAUAAAAAAGAGAAAGGCCCAAAUAAAAAAAUAUGAGAGAAAAAGAGAGAAGGGACAAUGUUACUAUCCUUUUACCACACUUGUGCUUCAAAGUAGCACCAUGAUCUUCAUGAUAGAGAGUCUCUCAUUAUGUCACUUUCAUAUACUUGUGGGAAUUUUUCAUUAUAGAACUUGGCUUGUAUAUUCCAAUGAUGGGCUUCCUCAAAAUGCCCUAGGUCUUCGUGAGCAAGCGAGUUGGAUGCACACACACUUAGUUUCUUUUGAGCUUUCAUAUACUUAUAGCUCUAGUGCAUCCGUUGCAUGGCAAUCCCUACUCACUCACAUUGAUAUCCAUUGAUGGGCAUCUCCAUAGCCCGUUGAUACGCCUAGUUGAUGUGAGACUAUCUUCUCCCUUUUUGUCUUCUCCACAACCACCAUUCUAUUCCACCUAUAGUGCUAUAUCCAUGGCUCAUGCUCAUGUAUUGCGUGAAGAUCGAAAAAGUUUUGAAAAUGUCAAAAGUAUGAAACAAUUGCUUGGCUUGUCAUCGGGGUUGUGCAUGAUUUAAAUACUUUGUGUGGUGAAGAUAGAGCAUAGCCAGACUAUAUGAUUUUGUAGGGAUAACUUUCUUUGGCCAUGAUAUUUUGAGAAGACAUAAUUGCUUUGUUAGUAUGCUUGAAGUAUUAUUAUUUUUAUAUCAAUAUGAACUUUUGUCUUGAAUCUUUUGAAUCUGAAUAUUCAUACCACAAUUAAGAAGAUUUACAUUGAAAUUAUGCCAAGUAGCACUCCGCAUCAAAAAUUCUGUUUUUAUCAUUUACCUACUCGAGGAUGAGUAGGAAUUAAGCUUGGGGAUGCUUGAUACAUCUCCAACGUAUCUAUAAUUUUUGAUUGCUCCAUGCUAUAUUAUCUACUGUUUUAGACAUUAUUGGGCUUUAUUAUCCACUUUUAUAUUAUUUUUAGGACUAACCUAUUAACCGGAGGCCCAGCCUAGAAUUGCUAUUUUUGCCUGUUUUAGGGUUUCGAAGAAGAGGAAUAUCAAACGGAGUCCAAACGGAAUGAAACCUUUGGAAACGUGAUGUUCUCAUCAGAUAAGAUCCACGGGACUUGGACCCUCCAUCCAGAAAGCCACGAGGUGGUCACGAGGGUAGGGGCGCCCCCCUGCCUCGUGGGCCCGUCGAAGCUCCACCAACGUACUUCUUCCUCCUAUAUAUAUCCAUGUACCCCCAAACAAUCGGGGACGGAGCCAAAAACCUAAUUCCACCGCCGCAACUUUCUGUAUCCACGAGAUUCCAUCUUGGGGCCUGUUCUGGAGCUCCACUGGAGGAGGCAUCGAUCAUGGAGGGCUUCUACAUCAUCAUCCAAGCCCCUCCGAUGAAGUGUGAGUAGUUUACUUCAAACCUACGGGUCCAUAGCUAGUAGCUAGAUGGCUUCUUCUCUCUUUUUUUGGAUCUCAAUACAAUGUUCUCCCCCUCUCUCGUGGAGAUCUAUUCGAUGUAAUCUUCUUUUUGCGGUGUGUUUGUUGAGAUCGAUGAAUUGUGGGUUUAUGAUCAAGUCUAUCUAUGAAUAAUAUUUGAAUCUUCUCUGAAUUCUUUUAUGUAUGAUUUGUUAUCUUUGAAAGUCUCUUCGUAUGUGUUGUUGUGGGUGUGCUUGUUGUGUUGUGGGGCGUGAUCGAAAGGUUAAAGAUACUAAGGGUGUGUUUGGUUCCCUGGGUGCAUCCAGCCCGCGUCACAUGAAGGAUCUUGGUUGGGGUUGGCCUGGUUGAGCUGAUGCAAGUAGGAGUUGAGAUGUGUGUUUGGUGUACUUGCAUGAUAUGGGCCAUGCUUACCCAAGAUGUUGUUUGGUAGGCUGCAUGAGAUCAAACAAUAUGAUAGAUGUGGAAUUUGAUUCUAGAUGCUUGUACAUGUAUGUAAAAUAAUUAGAAGAUUGUUUUGGCGAUAUGCACUCCAGUUCAGAUAUCUUUGCCGAUUGAAGUAAAAGAACAUGAUAAAACAUAGAUAAGAAAUCAUAAUAUUUUGAAUCUGUAAAUUUCGUAUGAAGAUCCUUUCAAUCAAAGAGGCAGCUAAAUAGGGGAACAAAUGAAAAUCCAUGUACUUCUAUGUGUAUUCCAUUGUCAGCAUUCAUGAGAUCCUAUAUUUAGCAUACAUACAAGGAACAUAUAGCCCCCCGAAGACACUUCUUUUACUUUCCAUCUAUUCUAGCUAGCUGAUCUCUUGAUCCUAACAGCACGAAUACAAAACAAAACUAGCUUCUCUCUCUCUUGUUCUUCUUCCUCUGGCUAGAUGAUCUCUUGUUCUUCUUCAUCCUGAUCAAAUCAAAAUAAAAAGAUAUGCACAAAUUAUUGGUGGAGUUAGCAGAACAAAUAUGCAGAAUCAUCUCUAAUCCAUAGGCAGCCCUCACAGCCAGAUCAGGCCUGUACAAGGCCAGUGGCCAAACCAAGCAUGCCAUCGAGUUGCUCAAGCACAUGGUCCACAUGAUCUACAACGGCCAAGCCUUCCUCGCCAGUAAGGGCACAACGCACAGAUCCCUUGCUUCCUCACAUGCGUGGAUCGAGCAAGCGACAACUCUCACAACCAGAUUGUGCAAGCGGCCGCGAGCACCCGGCAGGUGCGCGCGCGCACCUGUACGCACCGCCGGAGUCCCAUGCUUGCUCUCACAGUCAGAUCGGGCGAUCGGCGGUGAGCGACGGCGUGCAGGUCACCAAAAGCUGGGGACGGAAGGGAGGGGUCAGAGCUUGGGACUGGAGAAGGGGGAAUGAGAGUUGUACCUUGCCACCAGCGAGGACAUGCGGCGGUGAAUGGAGAUGAGGCGGCGGGACUGCGAGAUCCAAACGCGUCGCACCAGAGGAUAGAGCGGCAGCGAGAGCGUGGGGGGGGGGGAAUAUGACGACUUUGCAUUCGCGGGUGCAGGCACGGGCCUGGCUUGCGGAAACGGUCGAUCCCUGCGUUUCCGCUCGGCCUGGCUGAGAGCCCGAUUUUGCAUCAGUCGGGUCUGGCCCAGUGAGACGUCCAGCCUACCAAACAUGGAGAAACUUGCAUGGCGGGUGCGACGCAGAUUCAAGCCAAGGAACCAAACACGCCCUAAGGUUAUAAUGGCCGCAGGAAUUAACUGGGAAGCCGGACGACCUAGAAUAUCGGCACGCUCGGAUGGUAGUUUUUGCAACGCGUAACUCCAUCGUGUCGCACGCAACUGCACCGUGGCGACGCGCGCAUCACAACAACAUGUUUUAUCUCCUAAUUAAAAACUUCAAUUAAAAAUCCAUUUUCACCACUAAAUCCGUCUCGACGAGAUCUUCAAAACUAGACCCAUGUUGAUAUGUUUCGAUGAAUUUUUCCCCAAAAGUUGCCAUGACGUUUACACUGUAGCUGCCAUAAUGCUUAAACUAAAGUUGCCAUGUGGCAAUUUUAGUAUUUUGAUGAUGGCAAUUCCAGUACUUUGACCAUGAAAAUUAUUUUUUGUAUGAACCAUGGUAAUUUGAAGUGCAUGUAUCAUGGCAACUUUAGUUUAUGGUUCAUGGCAAGUCUAGUUUCUUAAUUCCCUAUUUUAUAAUAUGUCAAAAUGUACUUUUAAAUGUAGAAGAAAAUAGCUAAAAUAUAUCAUGGCAACUUUAGUGUAAACACCAUGGCAAUUCAUGUGCAAUAGACAUGGCAACUUUUAACCCAAAAAAAGUCGCCGAAACAUAUUGAUAUAAGAUCAAGUUUCGAAGAUCUCACUGCGAGGGAUUUAAUGGUGAAAAAGGAUCUUCAAUCUGAUUUUUUAUUUAAGAGAUAAAACAUUUUAAAAACUGGAAAUCCAAAAAGAUUUCCAAUGCAUGCAUGCAUACGGUGACAUGGCGCAGUCUGUGUGUUGUAGGGCGUGUGGCGGGUUUCGCUCCUAUCACACGUGUGGGCGUUAGCAUUGUCCUUAAGAAUAUAUCAAGGGUGUUUUUGAAUAUUUCUUGGUGGAAGAGCUAGGCAUCACAUGCACGUUCAUCCUGUCCCUCCGGGCAUGAUCUAACGGUUUAUCACCUGAGUGGGAAAAAAAAGGUCCUGUGUCGACUUGUGUAUCAUCCUUCACUUAUCAGUUAUAUAUUAUGUGCAGACAUAAAUCAUGUGGUCACCUUCAAUAGUUGAACUGUUGUAUUCUCCUCAAUAACCUCAACUCUGCCAAAGGAGCGAACACGAUACUUAUAUACUCAGGUUGUGUUUGGUUGAGCUGUAGAUUCUUGAAAGCCGUUGUGAAAAAGCAGUUGUGGAGAAGCAGUUGUGAAAAAGCAGUUGUGGAGAAGCUGGAGGCUGUUUGGUUCAAACGACUGUGAAACUGUAGAUUUUGCUGAGAGGCCUGAGUGAAUAUGCUUAUAUGCAAAUUGACCAUAAUGCAGUGAUCCUACUAUGAAUAUUGUUCAUGCUAUCAAUAUAUAUGAUCCAACAAGCAAUUACAUGGCAAUCUGCCGCAAGCAACCAUUCAAUGUACAUCAAAAUGCAACAAGUAUUCAUUAACAAACCAGUCAUUAUACAGCAACAUACGACAAUAUGCAGUCCAGUUUACAUCAAUAUACAACAACUUGACAAGCAAUAUGUACCAAUAUAUCAAAAACCAUCCACGGUUCAUCAAUUCACAUGAAUUGGGUCACUACCAACAAAGAAAAAAAUCAUCCACGGUUCAAGAAUUUGACAUGCAUUAUGCAGUCCAUUUUACAUCAAUUCACAUGAAUUGGAGGCGGCACCGGCGGCAGAGCACGCAUCGGUGGAGGGGCAGCGGCCCUUGCUGGUCCGAUGGUCCAUGCAUGUACUUGAGGAAGGAGGAGGUCUGGUGGGCAGUAGAGGCCAAAGGAGGUAGCAGCGGGGCGGCGGACGCGGUAGGCGGCGCCAAUGGCUGGGCGUGCGGCGGUGGAGGAACAGUGCCGAUAGCGGCCCCGGAUUCGCUCGAGUCGAGGGGAUUGAGCAGUUUUUUUCUUUUGCGAGGACAAGGCCUCCUCUUGUGGAGGAACAUCACUGGGUGGGGAUAGAACGAAUCGUUUUUUGAAUUGCUAGUGGCAAAGGUGGGUAAAUACCACGCAACGUCAAGGGGACAGCUAAAAAUGCAUUGCUGAAGUUGGGGGCUCGCCUCCUUUGAAAUUUAUACUACGCGGAAGCUUAGUUUUUGCAACUUCUGCUUCUCAUUUUCUCCCUUUGGUUAGCUUAUUAUGGCUUUUAAAAGCCAGUUGGAUGCAAAAGUCCAACCAAUCAGUUUUCCUUGACCAACCAUCCCGGCUCAAGUCGAUUCUUGAAAGCUAUGUCCAUGAUGCAAUUCAUCUAGUGGAUGACACCAUAAAUUUCAGAACGAAACAAACAUGCAAUUGUUGAAUGACUAAAGCUGCAACUUUGCCGAACUCCAGAGUAAUAGUAUACAACAUAAAUAUCAUAGAGACUGAACAGAUGCCAGAGCUGCAAGCCUGCAACUUCAGCAAACCACACAAUAGACAACAGCCAAACAUUGUCUAAAUAUAAACCAUAAUUAUUGAUAGCAUGGAUCCGGACAACAUGAUCAGGAGCUAACUAAGAAAAAGUAUAAACUUGACACCAAGCUACCACAUGUUGGUUGCAGUUACACGACAGUCAAUUUUGCAUCAACUGUAGCAAACAAUUGCAACGCUACACACCUUGUCCUCGUCUUUGUGAGAGUGAAGCCUCAUUCUGCUUCCCUGUGCCAUGAGAAAAAGGAAACCAUCAUAAUCCAAGUACAGCGUGUUCAAGAGCUAAGAAAUAGUAACCAUGCUGCCAAGGUCAGUAGUCCAAAGACACAAGUAUUACUCUUAAUAUUAG